GGAUUUUAAGGUUUCUUUUUGGUAGUUACAGGUCACAAAGCACAAGGAGUAGAAAAAACUUUUGAUGUGGAGCGAUUUUAGAAUUUGGUAUGUUUGUCUUGUAAGCUUAAUAGCCAUAAAAGAAAACAAAAUUUCCACACAAAAGUAUAUAUUUAUAUAAAGUAGACAUCGCAGGCUAUUUACCUAAGGUUGUUUUGACACUUUCUACGUAGCCAUUUCACCGCCAACCUCUGCUAAAUAUUGGAGUAAAAUUUGGCACACAAACUUAUAACAAAGAAAUUCUCAUGUGUAUUUUGUAAAGUUGGUGUGUGCUAUUCCUGUACAAAGAUUUAUGUUGUGUUCAGUUACAUCUGCUGAGUAAAAUGACACCCCCAUUGUAUGUCUUCGGCACUAUUUUGUGAAGUUACAGUGCCAAAUAGGAUACAUGUCCUUUUCAGUAUUCACAAUAGAAUUUUGACGGAUUUAAUGAGUCUAUGCUUCCAUUUGGGGUAUUAUAGUAGUUUGACUGUUCAAAAAAACCCCACAAAGGCCUACCAUUUGUAAAAGUAGACACUCCAGGGUAUCUCAUAAGGUGCAUAUUGUGCCUUAACAUAGCCCCAUUUCUUCACCAAUAUAUGCCAAAGUAUGUGGUAAAAAAUAAUUUUGUGCAUUUAUUACAUACGGAUUGCAUUUUUGCUGGGCAUUUUGUAUAUUUCGUAUGUGCCACUAAGUUCAAACCCCCCAUAUUAUGCUCAGCUAAGUCUUCUGAGUAAAAAGACACCCCCAAUGAAUGUCUUUGGCACUAUUUCGUGAAGCUACAGUGCCAUAUAGGAGACCAAGCCAUAUCAAUUUUUACCGAACUUUGAAUUUUGACGCUUGGCCUAUGUGCAAUUUCCAAGCAUCUUCGCAGGUUUUAAAUUCAAACUACCCCACAAAGGCCUACCAUUUCUUAAAGUAGACACCACAGGGUAUUUCAAAAGGUAUAUUUUGAACCUUAGUGUGGGAUCAUUUUUCCGCUAGCUUGUACCAGGUGUAGUGGUAAUAAGCAUUUUUUUCUGCCUUUUUGACACACAGAGUGAGUUUUCACAGUAUAUUUUGCAAACCUUAUGUGUGCUACCACUGUAUAAUACUUCAUAUGUUGCUCAGCUAUGUCGGCUGAGUACAGCAAUACCCCCGUAUGCACCUUUGCCAGGUAUAUGUGGACAUCGGAGGGGCACAUUUGGGACACAGCCAUUCCAGUUUUUUUCAAACUUUAAAUUUUUACGCUGUGCCCAUGUCCCAUUUUAGAGUAUUUUACCAGGCUAUAUAAUCCAAAUACCCCAUAAAGCCAUACCAUUUCUUAAAGAAGACAUCCCAGGGUAUUUCAAAAGGCAUAUUUUGAACCUUAACAUUUGAGACGCAGCCAUUCAGUUUUUUUCUAACUUUGACGUUUUACGCUGUGUCCAUGUUCCAAUUUGGAGUAGUUUAGAUGGUUGGUUAUUGAAACUUCCCCACAAACACAUACUUUUUAUUAAAGAAUACACCCUGGGGUAAUUCAAAAGGCAUAAUUUGAACCUUAGCGUGAGAUCAUUUUUUCUCUUGUUUGUUCCAGGUGUAGUGGUAAUGAGCUUUUUUAAAUGUAUUUUUUUACUUUUUAAAACUUUUUUACUUUUUAAAACUAGUUUUUAAACUUUUGUUUUGCUUAUUAAUUUUUUUAAACUUUCUUAAAACUUUUUUUACAGAUUUAACAUUUUUCUUAGCUUUUUUUUUACCGUUAACCCCUAACUAGCAGUAAGCAGCACUAACAGUAAAUUCCCCAUUUUCCCAUAACUCCCACCCACCCCAGCUAGCAAAAUAUAUAAUUAUAAAAUAUUUAAACUAGUUAAUUAAAUAAAUUGAACACCUGAGGGUUAAAAAAUAAAUAAAAGUUAAUCGUCAGGGGUUAAAAAAAUUAGAUCACAGUAUAAUACUGUGAUCUGUAUUUUCAUCACUGUAGGCAGUGAUCGACUGGCAGGGAAGGGGUUAAUUUUUAUUUGGACUGGCUAAAGGGGGGUGUUUUUUUAAUUUUUACUUAAACGUUAUUAAAACUUUUUUUAACUUAAUUGUGAACUUUUUAUAGCUUAUUUUAAAAAAAAAUUAAUGUUAGCCUAACACCAAAUCCCCAAUUCCCCACUAACUUCCAUCCACCCCAGCUAGCUAAAUUUAUAAUUUUAAAAUACUUAAAUUAAUUAAUAAAAUAAAUGUAACCCCUGAGGGUUAAAAAAAAAAAGAAUUAACCCUCAGGGGUUAAAAAAAAAUCAGAUCAUAGUAAAAUGUAAUCCCUGCCAAUUGAUCUCUGUAGUCAGUGAUCAAUUGGCAGGGAAGGGGUUAAUUUUUUUAUUAAAAUGGGUAAAGGGGGGUGGGAUUUUAAAUUAACUUUAUUUAUUUGUUCUAACAGGGACAAGAUCAGUGAUGAUCCAUCUCCCUGCACUUCACACAGAAGCAGGAAGUGCAGGGAGGCGGAAGGUGAGUAUGCUGAGCACCUGAGCUCGCUCUGACAGCCUGUCAGAGCGAGCACCGGUCCUGGACAUAUCCCACUUGCAAUACCUUGGGUUGUCUACUUUUGCAAAUGGUAUGCCACCAUGGGGGUAAUUCUCAAUCCUGGGCUACAACACGGUCUCAAAUGUAAGAUUAUUAAUCUGGCAAAUUUCAAUGUGAAAAAAAUGAAAAAUGGAAUGAGCUAUAUUUGACCCUGUAACUUUCCACCGUAAAACCUGUUAAUUCCAGGUACUGUUGUACUCAUGAGACUUUGCUGAAUACAAAUAUGUGCAUUUUAUUGCAGUAAAAGCUAACAGUAUUAUGACAUUUACAGCUAAAAUGUCAGACGGAACAAAUUUUAUGGAAAAUCGUAAUUUCUCCCAAGUUUUAUUUUUAUUUUAUUCAUGAUAAAUUAUGUUUCAUAUGUGAAUAGUUCAUGAGAAAUUAAAGCCCUGUCUCUCCUGAUCAAAAUUAUAUAUAAUGAGUGUGGGUGCACUUAAUAUGAAAGAGGUGAAUUACAGUUGGACAGACAUAUAAUGCAAAUUCCAGUUUUUGUUUACAUUUUGUUUUGAUUAGAACGUGUACUUUUGACCUCAUCCUGAAGGGGUUAAUUUGUUAUUUUUGCAAAGCUUUAUAUUUGUUAUGUUAUACACUAUCACCUCUGAAUGUCUCCUCUGAGGAGGUAUUGCAGUGCCUAGAUCUACAUGCUCCUGGAAUGUUCUGAUGCUAAGGGUUUUUAGCCCUUUCUGUUUAGUAGGUAUCUAGCUCCACAUCUGCUUGACCUUCUCCCUCUCCCCUCCUCCUGCAACCCCGUUGGUUAGGGUUGCCAUAAGACAGCCUGACCAACCUUCUCUUGUUCUUGCCAUACCUGGCACUAACUAUUCACUGUAGUUUAGUAUUUUAAUAUUUAUUUUACACACAAGCUGCCUCCCCCCCCCCCCCCCCAACUCAAUCAUUCCUGAUGAAAAAUGUUAAACGCGACGGCACCACGACAAACAGACAGCGACUCAGACACACAAACCGGAACCACAAAGACGCAACACUAGAGGCAGACACACAGAGCUCCAGAAUAAAGCAACACAACAUAGACACAACCAUGGACACACGCAAUAGAGGAGACACAGACUUACCGCAGAAGGUUUCACCAUUACUAGCAGAGGGGAAGGACACGAAACAUACAAAACAAAUACAACCCCAAUAUACACGAGCUGGUAGCCACAACACACACUAGAACUCAGGGCUGCAGGCAAAAGGCCAGAGCGCGCAAACACUAACCCAUUUUCGCAAGAUGGGCCUUCACUGCAGUUUAUGGCAACAGGGAUAAAUACGCAAACACAGGCAUCUCAGAAGAAAACAGUGUAUUGUUAAAAUAUGUCAUCCACAGUGCACUCCCCAAAUAAGGAAGUCGUCAGUUAAAUAUAAAGUUUGGAAUGUAAACUGUACCAUGCAACACUUUGUUCAAACAUGUAAUAUAAAAGUCACGUAAAUAAAUUGUUCUAUGGUACCCUUAAGAGCUAAAGUUCACGGACAAGGGCCGUGACACAACACACGCAAGGCUACAUGACAUUAGUGCUACACUGCUUAAAACCGUUGACUCAAGGUCUGGAUCCCAUACCCAGAGCACCUAAGAGCACACCCCCGCAGGGGAGAGCCUAUAACACAUCAGUCCAUGUCGCAUACCUAGCGGCAAAAUGUGAAAGCACCCAUAUAAGCACCCAUUAACGAGCCACACUAGUACCAUUCAAUGAGUUGAUAGCUGAAUACACGUUACUAACGGCCACUCCUAAUUGCCACUACAUACCUGACAACAACUCCCUAACAACGCAGUACCAAGCAGGUUCAACGCCUUUUGUAUGUCUAGCUUUGCAAGGCCUAUGAAUACCUAAUAUUUGUCAUUGCGUGUUUAUUUUGACUUCUAAGCCUCUGCGCAGGCAACUGUGUUACUCUGAGCUAACUGGAAUAUGUCUGCCUCACGUUAUUUACACUUUCAAUAUGCACGCCUCUGCGUAGGCAACUAUAUGCAUUAAUAAAACCCUGUUCAACACCCGUGUUUAUAUUGAUGACAAUAAACAUAUUUAAAACAAAGCGUCUAUAGUAUCCCGCUGUCCCCAGGAAGGCCAGGUCCUGGGUCUUAGUCUAGGGUGUGGGCCAGUUAGCGACAGCUUCUUUCUUGGCAGGCUCUGGUCACUGCCGCCCACACCCGACCCAGUGUCCCAAAUACUGGACCUCCACCAUGCCUAUGUUACAUUUGUCUGGUUUCAAAGUCAGGCCAGUCGCCCGAAUUUGAUCCAGCACUAUCCCCACGUGCCUCAGAUGUUCCUCCCAGGACUCGCUAUAGAUCGCAGUGUCAUCCAGGUACGCACAGGCGAAAUCCUGGAAGCCAUUGAGGAGUCUAUCAACCAAGAGUUGGAACGUGGCUGGGGCGUUUUUCAUCCCGAAUGGCAUGACCUUAAAUUGGUACAGGCCAAACAGGUUGACAAAGGCCGAUUUGGGGAUAACCUCCUCGGGCAGGGAAAUCUUCCAGAACCUCUAGGUCAAUUUAACCACCGAUAGUCCCAGGUAGUCCUAUCCUUUUUUGGCACCUUCUGUAUCUCUUCCCUCAUACGGCUUUGACUGCGUCAGGUAUCCGAUAUGGAGGUUGUCUAAUCGGAGCCUGUCCUGGGGUUUCCACCCUCUGGGUGGCUAACGUGGUAAACCCUGGUUCUUGGGAGAACGUUUGGCUCUUACUAGCUAUUAGGCAGGUUAUCCGCUCCCCUAACUUUAUCUGACUGAGGGGAUUGGUUUGGGGCUGUCUGCUCAAGAGGUCGGGUAAGGGUAGGCUGUCUGGAUCGUCAAUGGCUGGGGCGCAGACGGCAGCUAUGUCCUCGGGUCUUUCCUGAUACUCUUUGAGCAUAUAAACGUGGAAUGCUUUGCAAACCCUCUCAUCCUUGUUGCUGGCAAUUACAUAGGUGGUGUCGCAGAGUUGGUCCACCACCUUGUAAGGGCCCUGCCUGGCUGCUUGCAACUUAUUGUGCUUCUUGGGCUUUAGUACUAGGACCUUCUGUCCUACUUGGAAUGUGCGCUGGCGAGCACCCCGGUCAUACCAUACUUUCUGCCGUCCCUGGGCCGCUUGGAGGUUUUCCUUAACCAUCCGGGUAACUGUUCCAUGCGGUCCCGGAGCUGCACUACAUAUGAUACGACGGGUGAUCCCCUCCCAGUACUCCCUAAUGAGGUCCAGGGGGCUUCGCACCCUUCGUCCAUAUAGAAGCUCAAAGGGGGAAAACCCAGUGGAUUCUUGCGGCACCUCUCUGUAUGCAAACAGGUGGUGAGGCAGGAACCGUUCCCAGUCCCAGUAUUCGUCUGUGAACGUUUUCAACAUUUGUUUGAGGGUGCCAUUGAAAACGUUCACAGAGGCCGUUUGUCUGGGGGUGGUACAGGGAACUGAGUAGGGAUUUGAUCUGGCAGACUUUCCACAAUUGGUGGGUCAGUUCAGCAGUGAACUGGGUCCCUUGGUCAGAGAGAAUUUCUUUAGGGAAGCCCGCCCUGGUGAAUAUCCCAACUAAGGCAUUGGCAACGGUGUCUGCCUGAAAAUUGGGUAGAGCAACGGCUUCGGGAUAGCGAGUGGCAUAGUCCACCACGGUAAGUAUGAAUCGUUUACUAGAUGGACUAGGCCGUUUGAGGGGCCCUAGUAGAUCUACUGUUACCCGGCUGAAAGGUUUCUCUAUGAUGGGCAUGGGUCGCAGCUUUGCCUUGGGAUGAUCUCCCCGCUUCCCAACCCUCUGGCAAACAUUGCAGGUCCGGCAAUAAUGUUGCACAUCUGUGGAGACCCCCGGCCAAAAGAAGUGCUGAGUUACUCGGGCAGAUGUGUGAGUCAUCCCCAAAUGCCCUACUAAUGGGAUGUCAUGCCUAAUUCGGAGAAGCUCCCGUCGGUAUUUCCUUUGAACUACCAACUGGCACUUCUGCAAAGGGGGGACUCCGGGGCGACUGGUGUCAGACACCCUGUAUAGCUUGUCCUGUUCCCAUACAUAGCUUUCCCCGUCUGGGCCUGGCUGACCUGUUUCUGCCCAAAGGCGAUACUUAUGGAGGGAGGGGUCAGCCCUAGUCUCUCUACCAAAUUCUUCAGGGGUAUCCCAGGCUAGAGUCGUCGUGGCUAGGGUUUUUGUCAAGGGGUCAGUAGGUCUUACCUGGGUUUCCCCAACUGGUGGGUUGUUCUCAGCGGUGCGUGCUUGGGCACGGGUGGUGACGGGAUGAGCAGCUGCAUAGGUAGGAGCAUAGGCUGAGGUGAGGGGCCCAAGUUCCUUGCUAGGCAAUACUUCAGCUGGAAGGUUGUCCGUGAUUCCCACUUGUACAGUACUCGAUCCGGCUCCCCAGUUGAGAUGAACCCGGGCAGUGGGAAGAUGAUCAAUGGCUCCUCCGGUAACUUGGACAGUGACGGUCUUUCCAGUGCGAUCAUUGUUGCGGACCAAGUGUCGCUGGAUGAGAGUCAAUGUGGCCCCGGUGUUUUGCAGGCCCUGAGCUGGUUGACCGUUGACGAGUACCUUUUGGCGGUGUUGUUGUCGGUUGUCCUGAGCGGCUGCUUGAAUGGGAUCUGCCUCAUAUAAUACCCCCAGAUAUUCCUCCGCUUCAGGUUCAGCUUCCUAACAGUGGGCAACUGAUGUAGGUUGUGGCCGGUUGGAGGGUCGUCCCCAGGUGGACCUGGAUGGUUCCAGGGGGCAGUUGUUCCUGAUGUGCCCCAGCUGUUGGCAUCCAUGGCACCGUACCUUGACCUGAUUCUGUUGGGACCUGGGGGGUCCAGAAUAACAAGCAGGGGCUGGGGGAAACAGAGCACAGAUUUCUGCUCUAGGAGGUGGUUUAGUAGCGACCGGCUCGGGGUGAGGACGUACAGCAGUUAAUUCUGGGCGCUGGGACUCCGUAUAUUUAUCCGCCAGGUGUGCUGCGUCCUGUAGGGUGAGCAUUUCAUCGAUCCUGAACCCAUUGCUUCAGGCCCGGUUGUAAUGCUCCUAUAAAAUGUUCCAGCAAAAAUAGUUGUAGAACUUCUUCGCCUGUCGUGGCUUGACAUCCUUGUAUCCAAUGGGAUGCGGUUCAAUGCAGUGUACAGGAAUCCCCUCCUUUCCAUUUGGAUUCUCUAAACCGUCGCCAGUAUGCUUCAGGGGGUUACUGCAUACCGGAACAGCAAAGCUUCCUUUACUGUUGAGUUGGGGUUGCAUGAAAAGCUUCAUUUGCCGGACAAAAUUGUAACCCAUUCUUCGUGGGGGUACUUGAUGCAACACACAUUGCCAUUCAAAAUCUGUCUCCUGGUAUGCUUUAAACACUGCAAAACCUUUUUCUGCUCGCUGGUGUUCACAAUUGGUAGUACCAUUGGGCUUUUAGGUAUUUGUGUGGCUAGUACCUGUAGGUGAUAGGCUCUUUUCUCCCUCGCCUCCUCCAUUGCUGCGUUGAGAAGUUGCGUUACCAGUUCCAUAGGUGGGUUAAGUCCAUAGAGGGCCAGCCUUCCUUGCACCACUCUCUGGAUCUUGUCCUCUUCUCCGUUUGGGGGAGUGGAGUUAGCCAUUGUGUUGCUCUGGUCCAAUUCAACCAGUUCAGCUAUCAGUUCCCGUCGUGGUCUGUUACUAGCUGAACGCCCACGGCUCUCCAGUAAAUCCUUCAACGUUAGCCAUUUCAGUUUCUCAUACUGAUUCUCCAUGGACCAUCCCGCCGCUGCCAACCAAUUGUAGCGGUUACCCCGGAGAUUAGAGAGGUGACCACUGCUGGAGGGUGUCCUUCUCCUGAUGAGUGAGGGGUAUUCUCAGUUCAGUAGUGAGGAAGCUCUUAAAAGAGCUAGUGUGAUUAGCUGUUUAGCUGGUUAACCCCAAUAAGAGACAAGACUCUAGAUUGAGGGUGAAGAAGAACUAACUGCACUGAGCGUUUAUUACUGCUUUUAUACAAGUUUCCCAGUAAGGUUACCACCCAUGUGGACCUUGUGGGGCACUGAAAUUGUAAACUUUGCAACCAAUCAAGUACAGGCACAUAGAUAAUCACACCCACUUAUUACAGUAAAAAUCCUUCCCUCUGCUUGGGAGAUAAUUGAGUUAAUUACUGUAUCAACUCAAUUAUCUCCAAGCUUAAAAACAUACUUUUAUACAAUUUUGUGAUUAUACAUUCAAUUCUAGUACUUUCAUUGAGCAUAACUUGGGGACAAACUCGCUUGAAUUGAUUCGGUGGUUCAGGAGAUAGGGAAAAGUCUCUUUGACUGACCGCACGCAGGUUUUCCGGCCCAAAACAGUUCCACAAAUUCAGGCUGUGCGGUCGGUCUAUCUUCUCGUUCACAUGUAAUUCAAAUUGCAUGAACGGAUCAAUUCAUGCUUACUGUCAUUGGAUGCAGCUCGUUCAAGAGUUUAUUCCCUAGAAAUAGCGCUCUGUUCGCGUGAGUUUAGCCGAACGCAUGGAAGGUAGAAGUUUCAGCGGUGUUCGUGGGAAAAGUAGCCGAAAAUAGUUCCACGAGUUCGACGACCAAACACCGUUGAGUGCAUUCCACUAAACAAAAUGGCUGCCGCCACGUGUUCGCAUAGACGAACACCGACCACCCUGUACAACAAUUAGAACGCUGUGGUUUUAGCUGGUUUAGAGGUGUAACACGAGUCAGGGAGGUUAAUGAGGGUCAGACUUCUUUUCUGGGUGGUCGUUCGUUUGGUAGAAAAUUCGUAAUUCGAACGGCUUUUAUUAUAACAGCAGGCUAGGUAUUUUUAAACUAAUGAUUGUACGAACGGCCUUACACAGUGUUUAAAGAUCCAUACAUGGGGUUCUGUUACACUUACCUAUUACCAUAAUGGUAAAAUAGCACGUCACCAAGGUAUGAACAAGACGUACUCUUUGAUAGCUGCUGAAUAUUGGUGGUCUUCCUUACAUAAGGAUAUCAAAGAAUAUGUUUUGGCAUGUGACGUGUGUGCCAAAACUAAAUUACCACGUACACUCCCUUGCGGAUUGUUGUCUCCACACAGUAUCAUUCCACACAAUAAAGGAAUAGAAGCGGUUAAACAUUUUUUAACUAUAUCCAAGGAAGAACCGACAGCAGGAAUUUUACUUAUUUUAUCCAACAAGUUCUUUUGAUUUGCGGAUAGUUUUUAUUUGCAAAUCUGCGGUAAUAUUAUGGGCACCAAGUUUGCCCCCAUUUACGCCAAUCUUUUCAUGGUCUUCUGGGAAAAAACAUACGUUAUGCAAGGCCAUAACUGGGUGGCAAACUUGGUGUCAUAUUGCCGUUUCAUAGAUUAUAUCUUUUUUAUAUGGACAGGAACCGGAGAAGAACUUAAUGAUUUUAUGAAAUAUCUUAAUUUUAAUGAAUGGGGAAUAAAACUUAUUAGUGCCAGUAGUUCAGUCGGCAAAAAUUUUUUAGAUCUACAUAUUAGCAUCCAAGACUCAAUUAUAACAACUAAAAAUUAUUUUAAACCUGUAAAUGCUAACCACGGACCAUGGCUAAACAAUCCCCAUAAUGGGCAAUUUCUCAGAACCAGACGAAAUUGUAAGAAAAAUUCAGAUUAUAUAGAGCUAGCGAAUUACUUGAAAAAUGGGUCAUGAAGAAAAAGCACUAGAAAGGGAUCUGAAGGAAGUGGAAAAACAACCGCAAAAAGAUCUCAUUAUACAGUAUAGACAAUCUAAUAAAUUACUCAUAACAAAUGAAGAACCUUUUAUUUGUAACAAUUACGGACAAAACAAACAAAUACAAAAAAAAUUAUUAAAAAACAUUGGCACUUACUCAGAGAUGACCCCAUUUUAAACAAAAUCUUACCGCCAGUACCGAAAAUGAUCUAUAUAGGAGCAAAGAAUUUGAAAAACAUUAUAGUAAAAAGCCAUUUGAGUCCAAAAAAAACAAACCACUUUCUACACAACCUCACAGGAUUCUAUGGAUGUGGUCUAUGCUUACCAUGCAGAGAAACUAAAAUUAAAGAAGACAUUUAGUGGAUAUAGGGAACAUUACCAAAAAAACAUACAUUUUAACAGACCAUCUGACGUGUCACUCCAAAGGAGUGAUAUAUAUAUAUUAAAAUGUUAAUGCAAUUUACUGUAUGUAGGUAGAACUAUUAGACCACUUACGGUCUUAAUUGCUGAACAUGUCCGGAAUAUAAAACAUGGGAUAGAAACAGGGACAGACUCACCACUCUGGCACAUCGGUCAUGGACUGAGGGCCCGAGACAGCCAGGGGCCUGGCCGCACAGCCAUGCUCCAGCUGAAGAGAUCAGAGAACUCUACAACUGGAACGGCAAAAUAAAAUAAAAAAGAUCUCUUCCAUUGAUAGGUUGUGUGGCCCCUGACGGAACGCAGGGCCCCAGUAUCCUACCACUCUGCACAUCACCCCACCCUCAUCCUCAAAUGAGACCUGGCAGCAUUACCUGCUUUCUCUCUCUGCCAGGUCUCCUCCUUCCUGUCCUGUGCAGCACUUUGUGUAAUGGGGAGAGGUGGGCUAGACAUCACUUCCUGUACUCUCCUCACACACAGCACCCUCUCACAGCCAGCAGGGUGAAGGAGCAGCAGCCAUGUGGCAAACCUUAAGAGAACGUGGGAACAAGCGCAUCACAUCCUGUCACACACUUCUAAUUUAUACAAAAAUCAUGCUGAUAAGCGUCGGCAUGCUGCUCCUGUAUAUCAACUGGGUGAUAAGGUCUGGCUAAGCACCAGAAAUAUUUGCCUAAAAGGCCAUCAAUAAAGCUCGUACCCAGGUAUAUUGGUCCUUACAAGGUUAUCCAACGUAUCAAUUCUGUGGCUUAUAAGCUGGCGCUUCCUCCUUCUCUGCGUAUACCUAAUUCUUUUCAUGUAUCUUUAUUGAAAUCUCUAACUUGCAAUCAUUACACUAGACCCCUUGAUGUUCCUCCUCCUGUACAGGUUGAAGGUCAUGAAGAAUACGAAGUGAAAGCCAAUCUCGAUUCACGUAGUUCUAGGGGUCACCUUCAGUAUCUGGUUGACUGGAAGAGCUAUGUUCCCGAAAACUUUCUUGGGUUAGUUUUUAUGACAUUCAUGCUCCUCGUCUUCUCAAGUCGUUCCAUGCCCGCUUGCCUUCUCGCUUUGGUUCUUACCGCCAAAGAGGGGGUUUUGUCACAGUUCCUUGUGUGACACUGGCUGGAGAGCUCCAUGAAGGGGAGAGGGAUCCUUCCCAUGGUCCCUCUCAUCUCACUAGCGGUUGCGACGCCGGCUGAUGUAGCCCCUCCUCUUUUUAUGUUGCGGUUUGUACGCAAUGACGUCAUGGCCCGCCAAAAUGUUGGAAUUCAAACGUUUUGGAGGCGUGACUAUAAAUUAAAGGUAAAGGAUAUAAAAAGGGCACUUAGGGAGAGGAUCCUUGCCCUGUUGUGGUUUUUGUUUACAGUUCCCAAGAGUGCGUCAUAUUCUGUGUCUUUUCUGGUAUUUUGAUCUCUAUCGGUUUGUUUGUUUCCCUGAUUUCUGGCUUCCCAGACUCUGCUUGUCCCUGACCAUUCGUUAUCUAAUAUCAUAUAACCCGGCCAUUCUAAGGACCGGUAAACAUUGCCUAAACUAUUAUCAUAUAUACACUGCGUGUUGGGUCACUGGGUAUCAUGACAUUCAGCCAGCAUUGGGCCAUGCUAUCACUAACAUUCAUCAUGUAUUCGGCCCACAUUCAGCCUUUCACUAGCUAUGGUGGCAUACACAGUUUAGUCCUUAUUCAGACAUAGCAUCAUAUACCUCAAGUCGGUUCAUGUAUUCUGCUUAUUGUAUUCGGCCCUCAUUCAGCCAUAUUGUAUUUUAUCAUAUGCAAUUCAGUUAAUCACCCUCAUUUUAAUGUAUAAUAAAUGCUAUGCCAUAUUCAGUUUUUCAUAUUUGCAACUUAUUAUUGUCGGCCAUACAGCCUUAUACUUGACAGCUUUGAGCAGAUCAGCAUUUGUUACUUAUGUUCAUCAGAUCUCUUCCAGCCUCAAUACCUAUAUGGUCUAUGUCUGCCCUCUGGGUAUUCAGGCAUAUCAUUGGGCCUACAAUGUUAUGCUAGGUGUUGCAACUGACGGCCUAAAUUUAUGUCAGGCCCAAACGUGAGUAUAUACUUCCUGUUAAUACAGAGCUUGACAAAUUUGCUUGGAAUCUAGGAGCUGGCUAAUAAAGUUAGAUGGCAGGUUUUCCAACAUCAAAAAUACAAUUCUUAAAGGGUCAUAGCUUAAUGUAGUGGUUCUUAAGUCUAUAGCUUGUUUAUGUAAACACUGUCUUUUCAGACAAAAUAAAAUGUUUACAUUGCUGUUUAGUAACACCUCUAGUGGCUGUCACUCAGACGGCCUCUAGAGGCGUGGAGGCACUAAAUGAUCCCCAUAGGAAUGCAUUGAUUCAAUGCAUCUCUAUGAGGAUAUGUUAAUUGGUGUAUUUUGCCGCGCAUGCACAAUACUUUCUCAAUGCUUUCCUAUAAAGGGGGAAGCAUUGGAUUGACUGGGCAUCAAGAUUUAUUAACUCAGCCAUGGAGGUGGAGCCAGCAGUGGCGAGACCAGCAUGGCAUGGAAAAAAGGUGAGUAAAAACACCUUUGAAAAGGGGCAGAUCACCUAAACACACACACACUGACUGACAGAGACACACACACACACAUUAUUAUUAUUAUUAUUAUGGUAUUUAUAUAGUGCCAUCAAAUUCCGCAGCGCUUUACAAUGGGUGGACGAACAGACAUGUAGUUGUAACCAGACAAGUUGGACACACAGGUACAGACGGAUUGAGGGCCCUGCUCAAUGAGCUUACAUGCUAGAGGGAGUGGGGUAAAAUGACACAAAAAGGUAAGAAUAGUAUUAGACUAGUGACAGUUGCAGAAGAUGAAUCAGUCAGGAGCUAUUAACAGUAUAAUUGAUACGCUUUUAUGAAGAAGUGGGUUUUUUAAGAUUUUUUGAAGGAGUGGAAACUGGGUGAGCAUCUAACGGAUGAGGGAAGCGAGUUCCACAGGAACGGUGCAGACCUCGAGAAAUCUUGAAGGUGAGCAUCAGAGGCGGGAGUACGGACAGAAGAUAGAUGUAAGUCUUCAGCAGAUCGUAGGGGGCUAGAUGGGACAUACAUGUGUAUAAGGGAGGAUAGAUAGGUGGGAGCAGUAUUAUGUAGAGAUUUGAAAGCAGGAACCAGAAUUGUAAAUUGAGCUCAGAAGGGUGAGGCAUGGGAGGUGCGGGCGGACAGGAAGAUGAGCCUCACUGCCGCAUUCAUUAUGGACUGUAACGGUGCAAGUUUGGAGCACGUAAGACCACUGAGAAGCGGAUUACAGUAGUCAAGGCGAGAAAGGACCGUGGAAUGGACCAACACCUUAGUCGCAUCUGGCGUUAAAUAGGGGCGGAUGUGCACAAUGUUUUUGAGAUGGAAAUGACAGGAUUUGGCGAUAGAUUGAACAUGAGGCUUAAAGGAGAGGUCGGAGUCAAAGAGAACACCUAGGCAGCGAGACUUGGAGGGAGACAGACACAGGAGUAACAACACUUGAGGGAGGAAAGACCAGAUUUUCAGUUUUGGUCAAGUUUAGUUUAAGGAAGUGGGCAGCCACCCAGCUGGAAACAGCAGAGAGGCAGUCAGAGACACUAGUCAAGAGGGACGGGGAGAGAUCAGGAGAGGACAGGUAGCUUUGCAUGUCAUCUGCGUAGAAAUUAUAUUGGAAGCCAAAGGAGCUAAUGAGUUUACCAAGGGUGUCAGUAAUGAUGGAGAACAGUAGGGGACCAAGGACUGAACCUUGGGGGGCACCAACAGAGAGGAGUUGGGGAGAAGAAGCAAAGCCAGAGAAAGAAACACUGAAAGAGCGCUGGGAGAGGUAGCAGGAGCACCAGGAGAGAGCAAUAUCUUGUAGACUGAUAUUGCGGAGGAUGAGAAGAAGCUGUUGAUUAUCAACAGUGUCAAAAGCUGCAGACAGGUCAAGCAGAAUUAGGAUAGAGUAGUGACCACGAGAUUUUGCAGCGAGUAGAUCAUAGGAUACUUUGGUCAGUGCCGUUUCCACAGAGUGCUUAGCGCGGAAACCAGACUGAAGCGGGUCUAGCAGAGAGUUGGACUCGAGGAAGUCUGUCAAUUUUGCAUACACAAUUCUUUCAAGGAUCUUGGAUGCAAAAGGCAGUAGCGAGAUAGGACGAUAGUUGGAUAGGGAGUUAGGGUCAAGAUUGGGCUUCAUUAGAAUUGGGGUUACAGUUGCAUGUUUGAAGGGCGAUGGAAAUAUACCAGAGGAGAAAGAGAGAUUGAGAAUUUUAAUGAGAGGUGGAGAAAGAGAAGAAGACAGAGUACGGAUUAGAUGCGAGGGAAUUGGAUCUAGGGAGCAGGUGGUGGGGCGGGAGGACUGGAGCAGAGCAGAAACCUCUUCCAAUGUAGCGGGUGCGAAUGAACAUAGAAAGCAGAGGGAGUGAAGUUAGGGGAAGUAUUGUAAGGGGAAGAAGAAAUAUGAGAGGUCUCUUCUCUGAUUGUAGAGAUCUUGUCAGUGAAGUGAGUUGCAAAGUCUGAGGCGGUCAAGUUAGUAGGUGGAGGAGGAACAGCAGGGCGAAGAAGAGAGUUAAAUGUGUGAAAUUGUCGUUUGGGUUCGUGGAAGAGUGUGGUUAUGAGGGUAUUGAAGUAAUUAACUUUUGCAGAGGAAAGAGCCAAGCUGUAUGAGCUCAGCAAAAAAUUUAUAGUGGAGAAAGUCAGAACAUUCAUUGACAGACACACUGACCGACUUACACACUCACUGCUGAUAGUCUCCCUUCUUAGCCCUCGCGCGCUGUUUAUUGAGCCAUGGACCGGAAUGAUGUCAUAUUCCGACACCCGGCAGAGCUGGAAGAAUACAGCUUCCUCGCCAUCUCCGCACUCAGGCAUCUUCCUCCACAGUCAGUAAGCCAACCGCCUCCGCAGUCAGUUAGCCGCCCACCUCCAUCCCUCAGCUAUUCAUGCUCCAUGAACCGCAUGCCCAACCACCCUCGCUCUCCAUGAGCCACCUGUCCAGGCACCAGGACAAAUUUCCUAGUCGCCAUGGCGACCAGUCACCUGGAAUUUGUUGAGCCCUGUGAUAAUAAUCUGUCUAUUUAACUGAGUGAAAGAGAAAAAUUGUAAGGUGGAUAAUAGGCUGUACGAGAUGUAUGGAUUAUGGCAUGAAUAAAUGUAGGUUAAUCAUACCAAGGUUGUAGGAGUUUUAAAAUGGACUGUGAAUUGCGUAUGGAUAGUAGUGAGGCUUUGGUGUUCAAUAUGGUCCAUCUGUUUGUUUCUUUAAAUUUAUUUAUUUACACUUAGUGGUUUACUGAAACAUAGUAUAAUAUGGCAAUAUAUAACCCUCAAGUGGCAGGUUGCCAAAUCUAGGUUGUAAUAGUGAUGCCCUAAUGAGGACUGUGUGUCAAGGUAGAGGAGUAAAAGGCUGAGAGAGCUCACUGUGAUUCAUGAGUAGCAGGGUAGCCAUGUUAAUGCAAUAUGAGAAUUAGUGGAUGUAUGAAAUGAUAGGACAUGGGUUGAUUAAUAGAAAACAUUGUCAUCACACGUACUACCACUACACCUUCCCCUCGCACUCCGGCUGUGACCCAGCAUACCACUAGCCCCAGUUCCUUGGGCACCAGGACCUUUCCUAAAUUGCUGCAGAUGUAAAUUCUCAUGAUUGCUAAUGCCAAGACCCCCAACUACCCUCCUUUAAUCAUAACUUCGGCCCUCUAUGUAGUCAACCCCAUCAUGACCACAUACUGGUGGUCUCUAUGGAUAGUGUUAUCAGGCAAAUGCCACUCAAACCAUGAAUGUGUAUUAGCUUGGUCCUCCCCUCUAACCGUUACAUAGUUAUUGAGGUAUUGACUACUCUGGCAGCAACAGCGAUUUUACCUUGUCUGCAUAUACAUACCAAGCUGUCGCAACAUAACAGCCGAUGUUUGCUUUCGUUCAAUUUUGUGCAUAUUCCCACGCACACCCCAUAGCCACCAAUUGUCCUCUCAAAACCUAUACAAAACCUGAUUAUCUCCCAUCAUCCCCACUGUAACACAUGAGGACCAGGUGGAAUUUGUGGGGGGCAGGCAUUGAUCAGAUGGGACGAGAAAGGUAGUGAAUUUGAUGCACAGGCUGAGGUUUGGAUUCCAAUAUUGUUACUAUCAAUAACUGGUGAGACCUCACUUGACCCGGUUUUGAGAAAAUUAUACGGUCGUAUCUCCAGAAGGAUAUUGAUACUUUAGAGCGCCGAAGAGAAUGGAGGUCCAACACAGACGCUCUACGCUGGGCCAGGAUCCGUUACGCCUGGGGGUAUCCCUUCCGACUGAUGGCCUUCCAGGAGGGGAGAGUACAUGUGCUACUGGUCAGGGGAGACCCACAGAAAUUCUUCAGGGACCUGGGCAUCGCUCAUCUGCUGAACCUAGCAGCAGUGGCCGGACCGACUGAGGAGCUGCCUCUUCUUCCAACGGAGUGGCAGGUGAACUGACCUCGAGACUGAUGAGAUCUCCAGGAUGGUAUCGUAUAACAGAGUGGGGAAGGCGCUCUAAUAGAGGACGGCUCCAGCUCUGGGGGUCCCGGGACUGAUGUGGUGUGGAGGGUAAGGGGACACUGCCAGUGUGGGGGCAACGGAUAGGUGGAACAAGACUGAGGGACAACAGGCUUGGAGAGGGACUGGGGACCGGAGCAUAUGGAAGUGUCAUUUAGGGAGUGGGGCACUGGGUGGUAUGUGGGAAGAGAUGAGCCGGCAAGAGGCCCCCUAUGAAGCCAACUUACAAGAUCUAAAGGCCAGUAUGUGGGCAGGCAUGACAAGUGGUACCGGGAAUGUGCCAUUUACACGAUGCACUGAAGCCGCGGGUGAUCCCAACGACAAGACUCACAAAGGGACAUCUUUAGGGUAGGAAAACAGGGGAGAAAGGCAGCCCUCGGAAACAGCCAACGAGCAGAGGGGGGGAGGAAGCACACACUAUUUACAAACCCAUAAAAACCAACCCAAAAAAUCACACAGAAAUUCUUCAGGGACCUGGGCAUCGCUCCUCCAGGGGGUGGGUCACACACCCAGCCAACUGCAGGAAAUAGCCUUACCGGGGGGGGUGGGGGGGAGGAGGUGACAAAACAACGUGACCCACUUGGAGACCUGUAUGGCACUGCCUAUGGCAACAGAAACCUAAGAGGGAUAUCCUUAACUAUUUGCAAUGCUCCAAACGGGUGUCGGGCUGGAAUCGCAUACUGUUUGUCAACUCUAAUAUACUGAGAUGUUGUAUUUGAACUUUGUUUGAUGUUUGACUUUAUAGAACACAUCUGACUAGAGAUGGGUCAGGAAACUGACAGCGACUGGAUAUACGGGAGAAAGAACCUAGCCCACUAAGACAUGGACACCUGACCCCCUUAUGACACCACACCAAUAUAGCGAACCCCUGGUUAGACCCCACUAAGAAACAGGGAAGAGGAUUGCCCACCACACGGUGCCCAGGACCAACUAGCAAUGGAGGAGGAGACAGCUUAAGCUAUCGGUGCUGCCCCGCGCUGGGAUGCGGUGCCCAGGGGAAAGGGGGCAUAGCCGGGGUUACACUGGCUGGGGUCACCCUGAGAGUUGUUGUUUACAGUUUAUCGGGUACAGUUUCACCCGGUUUUGAGCAAAUUAUAAGUUACCUAUAUCUAGUAAGCAGACAGCACUGCAGCAAGGGUAGAUGGUGGCCAGCUGACCCUUGAUACCCAUGAACAAGACAUGCAGGGGAAUGUCGGGCCACACGCCCCAAAUUUGUAUGGCAAUCGGUAAGACCAAACGCUAUGAGACGAACCAAGGCACAGCUUUUUCCACUCAGACUUCUCUCUACAUCUCUCUUUCUUCCCUUUACUUUAUUCUUCUUUGAGGCAGGGGCUGGGGAGUGGGCUCGGGGUCCCACUCGGCCAUGACAAAUGUCAGCAGACACACUAAUGACAAAUUGUGGUAAAUAUAACGUCACUGAACGUAAAGGGGCUGAACACUCCCACUAAAAGGCGCUGUGGCAAAUCUAGCCACUUGGACAAUAUAAAGAGACUGUACCUUUAAGGGUUGCCUGUAUGGUUGUGGGAUAUGUGUGUGACUAAGUAUAAUGUAUGCUGGCUGUAAUACCUUGUAUUUCCUGUAUUGGCUAUCUGCCGAAUGCAGAUAGCUAUUUGUAUUGGAUUUUUCUUUCAUUUCACGAACGGCACUUUUGCGGGCCGUUCGUGAACCGAAAACACUCCAUAUAGUAGCCCACACACUUAGAGGCUAAUUAGAGGCUCUCCUAGGUGGCCGCUGUUCGACUACCGACCAUGCGGCGGUCGGCCAUCUUGGAUCCUUUGUUCCCUCAGUGGUGUUAGGUCGUCGAGCGCAUGGUACUAAAAACGGCUACUCAACGGCGCGAACACCGCUGAGCCUCCAGGCCGUUCGGGAGUUCCGGGCCGUUCGGUAUUUCGUUCCCUGGAAGGCAAUCGGUCAUUUUAAUAUGUCUUUUAAUAAAUGUGUUUUUCGUGCGGCGUUUGGUUGUUUUAGCUGGGAUCUGAGCGGUAAUCUCACGAAUGAUGCACUCAGACCCCAGCUAUCUACCGAACGUCCAUUCGUUUAAAUAGACCAUAUAUUCAUAGAGUUAUGUAUUUUUAUACGAAUUGUAAGUUCUGCUGCACGGAGGGAUAAUCCACUUAACGGUAUAUUCCAGUGGGAAGAUCCCUCUCGUGCAGCAGUGCCUGAUGGGAGAAAUGCCCUGUACAUUAAGUCCCCCAUGUAGUCCCCUCUGGGAAUGCCCCUGGGAGGGGACUCAGGAAACCCCUUGCAUGGGGACUUGUAUAAAUUGUGGAGCUGAAAUAAAAGACCUCAGUUGACUCUCAGAACUGUGUUUCGUCCGGUUACUGGGAGAUUUGGGAUAUUGCCUUGUUGUUUACAGCGCUUGACUGUGGAUUACUUCCUGAACCAGCGGAAUUCGUGGAUUUAAUAUUGGCGUUCCGCUACAGGCGCCUAAUGUUCCGUGAAUUGAAGAGGCAGGACUCUGACAUAGUCUUUAUCCAGGAAACACACUUACCUAGACAAGCGACCCCGAAACUAAAACACCACUCGUACAGGGUGACCCACAAGGCCAGAGCACACCGCAAAAUAAACGGAGUGGCCAUACUGGUCAGAAAUAUAUGCCCACUGCAGAUAUGUUCCACUGACGCGGACAAGGACGGACGAUAUAUUAUAGUGACUGGUACACCCCAAAUCAGCCGGAUCCAGGAUUCUGGGAUACCCUGCUAUCUAAGGUACAGGCUCUGAAGCACGGCAUGAUUAUAGUGGGUGGAGACUUCAAUGCGGCGCCGAGUCCCGCGGUCGACAGAAGCGCACACAGAGGAACACCCAGAUCACAGGGGAAGAGACGGCAAGAUAAACUCCUACAUGGAUUCAUGGGGCGUACGGGACUGAUAGACGUGUGGUGGGCCCAGCACCAGAGCGACAUUGCUUACACGCUAUUCACCCCCACACGGCACCUACUCUCGGAUUUACCUCUUUUUGGUUAAUUGUAGCUGCCUCUCGCUGGUCACAGGUUCCAAAGUGGGGAACAUCACGUGGUCUGACCAUGCUGAAGUGGCGAUCACGAUGGGAAACCUAUGCGCAGCAACCCCGUGGACUUGUAGUCUCAACGCAUCCUUGUUGCGAGACCCCGAGGUCACAGACCAGAUUCAAAAUGACAUAGCCACUCCAGACCUACAGGUAAGUACAGUGUGGGCGGCACAUAAGGCAGUCGUGCGAGGAUCUCUGAUCAAAUUGGCGACUAUAAAGAAAAGAGAGAAAACAAAAAAUCUGACCAGACUCCUAAACGACCUUAAAAAGCUAGAGCAGCAACAUCAAACACGACCAGAUAGGGAGACACUGAGAAGGGUGGAAGACGGGAGACCGGCUAUAAGAGCCUUGCUACUUGACGAUGUGGCCCGAGACAUGACCUGGACCAAGAGGACGUUCUAUGAAAAAGGGAAUAAAAUGGACACCCUACUGGCUAGGACACUGAGGCCCCGACAUACACGUACACACAUCACGUCCAUAAGACAUAAAGAUGGAACAAUCAAAACCACCCCCCAGGAAGUAGCCAAAGUAUUUACGGACUUCUACGAAACACUAUAUAACCACUCACCAGGGGAGGACGUGACAGAUGCCAGGGAGGCUGUGAUGACACAGACUUUGCUGAAAGGAUUGGACCUACCAAGGCUGCUGCAGGAGGCUGUAGCUCAUCUGGCAACGGCAAUCACUGAAGAAGAGAGAGACAAGGCCAUCACCCGCCUACAUGGUACCAAGGCCCCUGGACCGGACGGAUUCACUGGAACCUACUAUAAAACAUUCUGGGACGUUUUGACACCAUAACUAGAAAAACUUUACAACGACUUUAGAGGAGGGGGUACGCCCGGCCCAGACAUGUCAUUGGCCACCAUAGUACUAUUGCCUAAACCAGACAGUAUGAGGAUAUAAAGAAACACAACAGUAUGAGUCCCCUACCACACCAGGGACCUGAACAGUCUUAAACCAUAGAGAUGUACUUAGGAGUAAGACUAAAUACAUGUAUCCAUCGACAAAUCUUGUACCUGCUUAAUGAUGUAUGCUAAAAUGAUGGCUGUGGCCGGUUGUUAUUAGAUAUGUUAACGCUAACCUGAAUUUAAAAAAAAAGCUAAGGCCAGGUAAUAAUGAAAGUAUUUUUUAAAAAUUGGGCAGACUAGAUGGGCCGAAUGGUUCUUAUCUGCCGUCAAAUUCUAUGUUUCUGAGGGGAGGGGGGACCCCAAGCAUGUUUGGGGCAUUUGACAGGCUCAAUUGGUCCUUCCUCCACUCGGUCCUCAAAAAAUGUGAAUUCCCAGAUGCGUUCCUGUCCCUUGUCUCGGCUCUAUACUCCAAACCCACAGCACAGAAAACCAACUCUGGUUUUGUCUCCACACGGAUCAAGGUAUCAAUGAAACACGGCAGGGGUGUCCACUCUCCCUACUGCUCUACAUACUAGCCCUAGAACCACUCAUAUCUUAUAUCAGACAGAGUCCUGACGUGCAUGGCAUAAAACUCCACAACAUGGAACAUAAAUUAACCCUGUUUCCGCAUGACAUCUUUCUUACUUUGCAACAACCACACACCUCACUGCAGGCCUUUCAUCCCAUUCUCCAACAAUACAGCUCGUACUAUAAGUUAAACUUGACAAAAACACAAGCAAAUUCUUCCAAAGCUCCAAUAUCUCUUUCGAACCCUCACUAUGAAACUUCCGGCUCCAUACAUUAGAGAAGAGCAACAGGCUCUGAAUGCCUUCAUUUGGGGAGGGGAAAAACCUAGAGUGCCGAUCAAGACACUAUACAUGGCCUUUGAUGAUGGGGGCAUGGGGAUGCAAAGCUUCCAGACAUAUUACCAUGCGGCAAUACUUAAACUCGAUUAUCACCUCACAUCAUGGUACAAAUUUAAAACAAUGGGCCCAAAUAGAAGCUGCACACACAGAGGGCCUAGGACUACCCUCCCUGGCAUGGAUACCCACCACUCUACGCAAAAACACAUGCAAGCUAUUACCCACCUCAGAAGUUACUUUAAAAAUCUGGGACACCCAUAGACACACUAUGCACCGGAAAAGUGCAGUAUCCUCAGCCCUACCAAUCGAAUUCUUCAUGGCACUCAUCCCCAACUUCAACCACAGGCUCUGGCAAGCGGCAGGGAUCACCACUGUAAGCCAAAUCACUGACACACAAAAGCUCCUGCCAUUUGACACUCUGAAACAAAAACACAACCUAACACAUCUGGAACAUUUCUUAUAUCUUCAGAUAAAAUCCUGGCUUGGAAAACACUGCCCACCCAAACCACAGAGUGUAUAUGGACAAGAGCUAAUGGAGGUGGAAAGCAUUAGCUUACAAAAGAAAUCGCCUAAAAAACUAAUCUCCCGGUUCUAUACCAUAAUUAGGGAACAACAAAACAUACUACUCCCACGUUCAUUUUAGCAUGGGAGAAGGAACUCCAACGGCCGUUGGACAAAGCACAGUGGGCGCAGGCAUUCCAGGCCCACAGAAAAUUUACAUUAUGCUCAUCACAUAUGAAAACUACGAAGAAGGUACUCUACAGGUGAUAUAUGGUCCCGGCACGCAUGCACCAUGCAGACAAUACAAAAUCGGCAUUAUGCUGGAGGUGUCACACCACCAUAGGCACGAUGCUACACACAGUUUGGUCCUGUGACGCUCUGUGCUCCUACUAGAGCCACGUUGCUAACCUAAUUUACUCCUGCACCAAAGUCACACUGCCGUUGAGACCAGAGACCUUCCUGUUCCUUCUCCUUCCACCGAAAUUGCCUAAAAGCGCACAAUAUCUUAUAUACCACAUUAUUGUCGCAGCCUUAAUGGCAAUUAGCAAAUCCUGGCUAUCAGACCAGGCACGACUGCUUAAACUACUAUACCUGGCGAUAGACACUACGAAAUUCUACAAACGCUGAGCCAGAGGCAGCGGUCUUGACAAAGCCUAUUGGCAAAAAGCAUGGGCGCUCUGGGACAAAUACACGAGUGAUAACCCACAGCACCUACACUGGCCAGGCAACCUCACGCUCCGACAGCUUUGUUCAUAUUUGACAUAUUUGACUCUGGCGUCAGAGAAAACUGUACUUAUUUGAACUGUAUGUCUCUGGGCAUGUGGCCCCCCAUGGCUCUCAACUCUUCAUCACCCUUGAGUCCACACUGAACUAUAACGACCCUCGAGUCCAUACUGAACUAUAACGACCUCCAGGACAUCAUUGGGAAUUACCAGCUACCCUACAAAGAACAAAGUAUGCAUAUGAGUACUGUCACCCUGCCCACCUUCCUACUGUUCGUUAAUAUGUUACGUGUUACUGUAUAUCACUGUAAGCAUUAUGUACCACAAACUAAGCAAACUCACUCCAAUCUAAUCUUAUAGGUGUCCUGCGUGACACAUGAGACAAUGAAUAUGAAUAUAAAGAAAUACCUUUUUCUUUUCUUUUUUUUUUUUUUUUAAGUAGAAAAUUCGGGGAUCUCUUGAUACCAAGCCAAAGUCAGGUAGACCAAGAAAGAUUUCAGCCACAACUGCCAGAAGAAUUGUUCGGGAUACAAAGAAAAAUCCACAGGUAACCUCAAGUGAGAUAAAGGCUACUCUGGAAAAAGAUGGUGUAGUUGUUACAAGGAGCACAAUGCUAACGCUUGAACAAAAAAGAGCUGCAUAGUUGAGUUCCCAGAAAAAAACUUUACUGCUCCAGUGCCACAAAAAAGCCCGGUUACAAUAUGCCCGACAACACUUUGACAUGCCUCACAGUUUCUGGCACAGUGUAAUUUGGAGUGACAAGACCAAAAUAGAGCUUUGAUCACAACCAUAAGUGCUAUGUUUGGAGAGGGGUCAACAAGGCCUAUAGUGAAAAGAAUACUAUCCCCACUGUGAAGCAUGGUGGUGGCUCACUGAUGUUUUGGGAGUGUGUGAGCUCUAAAGGCACGGGAAAUCUUGUGAAACUUUGUUAUCAGAAUAUACUGGCAGACCAUUUGCAUUCUUCUGCACUAAGACUGCACUCUUAGACUUUCCAGCAUCACAAUGACCCUAAGCACAAGGCCAAGUUGACCCUUCAGUGGUGACAGCAGAAAGAGGUGAAGGUUCUGGAGUGGUGAUCACAGUCUCCUGACCUUUAAAUCAUCAAACGGAUCUGGGAAGAUCUCAAACGUUCGGUUCAUUGCAUGACCUGAAGGCAUUUUGCCAAGACUAAUGGGCAGCUAUACCACCUGCAAGAAUUAGUCUUGACAACUAUUACAAAAGACUGCACACUGUCAUUGAUACUAAAGGGAGCAAUACAGAGUAUGCAGUAUUUUGAAUAGAGAUCAUUUAUUUUUUUCCAUUUUGCCAUGUUUUGUUUUAUGAUUGCGCAAUUCUGUUAUAACUUACGGUUGUUGUUAUUAUUACUUUAUUAUUUAUAUAGCACCAGCAAAUUCCAUAGCGCUGUACAAUGGGUGGACUAACAGACAUGUAAUUGUAACCAGACAAGUGGACGCACAGGAACAGAGUGGUUGGGGGCCCUACUCAAUGAGCUUACAUGCUAGAGGGAGUGGGGUAUUGUCAGGAUACACUAAUAUGCCCAACGUAGAACUAAAGUAAAAAUAAAGAAAACCCUAAGGCAUAUUACCAGGCUUUAUAACGGCCGGAUUUAUUGUAUAAAAAGAAAAGCACAAGACAGGCUGAGGUCAGAAUAGUCAGGGGCCAAGCCAAAGAUCAAGGGAUACAGAGAUCAGAAUAGUCAGUAAGAAAGCCAAGGUCAAAAUACACAAGAAACCAUACCAGAAACGAGCUCUCAGAUAACCAGAAUGGGGCACAGAGAAAUGGGAAAAAAAAGGUUUAAAUAGCCUAAGGUGCUCCUUGAUUGGCUGCAGAGGAGCAUGUGACAGUGGAACGUGUGUUUGUGACAUCACAAACACGUUCCCAGUGGUUAUGCACUAAAGGGUUCUUACUUGCAGCGGCCGACGUCUCUAAUGUUUACAGACCCGCAGGAGGAGGUGGGUAAUCAGCGGCAUUCCCGUUGCCAUGUGGCAAUGCUGCUGCAACAAGAUGCACCCGCUGGGUCCCAGUCUGCACUCUGGCAGGAACGUAACUGGCAGGUGCCGUGACCAGGGGUAAGUUCUCGGCGGCAUUGCCACAUCGCAAAGAGAAGUGCCCGCCGUGUCCCUGUCUCUGGCAGGAGCGGACCCAGCGGCGGUGGUGACAGUACCCUCUCCCCUACAAACCGCCCACUGGGCUGAGGAGGAGGCUGGCUUAUGGGGAAACUGGACAUGAAAAAGCACGCAGCAGCCUAUCAGCAUGCACAUCAGAGGAAGGAACCCAUGAGUGCUCCUCCAGGCCAUAACCCUUCCAAGGAAUCAAAUACUGCAACACCCCACGCGACCACCUGGAGUCGACUACAGAUUGGAUCUCAUACUUGACCUGACCAUCGACAUACACAGGAGAAGGACGAAACGUUCACUUAGUGUAACGAUUACACACCAAAGGUUUGAGUAACGACACAUGAAACACAUUAUGGAUACGCAAGGCCGUGGGAAGCGCCAAGGCAUAUGACACAGGAUUGAUUUUCCUAGACAUCACAUAUGGGCCAAUGAACCUGGGAGCCAAUUUCAUAGUCGGUGUGGCGAAAGUAACCUCGCCACUGGAGGGGCCUGCUUGCCAGCCUCAUGCCCCAGGAUUAUGGGCCCUGCAAAAAGACAUGUUAAAAUGUGACUUCCAUGGGAAAAUGUGCCAUUUUCCUGUCCUAUUGUUUCCCCAGCAGGGCGUUGUCCCAGGGACACUGCCAGACCAGCAUUAACUGGCUGCUUUGUCCCUCCUCAAUAUCCCAUCAGCCCUUGCUAUUGUCUGACCCCACCCUUCCUUGUACUAUAGUGCUCUACGUAAUCUGUUGUAUGUAAAUGAGGCUGUUGGGGGUUUAAAUGUAUGUAUAAAAGUGCUGGAUUGCAUUAAACAGACCUGCUUUACCCCUUCAUGAAAUCUUGGCUCAUGUUUGGGGCAUUGGAAAGCUACACUCUGGGGAUUGCUAUAAUUACUAUAUUCCCCUGAGUUUAAUCAUUAGCUCUUCUAAGAGCUGCUCCUGCUACGUUCUCUGGAGGAGGAGAGGUCUACCCACAGGGAGCUGGAUCCUGGUCUUGGGUCCAGAGUGGGUGGAGGACGGCAAGACCCCAACCAAGCUGCGGCGGUUCGUGGGGUCUAUAGUGCUUAUGGUGUUUGGUGGAGUGCUAGGAGCCCUCGGAAACCACUAGGAGCAUCGAUUGGCAGAGGCACUUGGUCAGAGUGCCAGGCGGUCCGUCAGUCGGCACCUUCAAUCUGAUGUUGCGAGUAGAAAUCCAGACUUUAUCCCCAAAUAGAUAACUAGGUGCCAUAGAUCGGCGUUUGUCCACAUGGAAUUUAUGACGAGAGGAAGCUAAAGUCAAUGUUUGCUGUAUAAGCUUCCACAUUUCCUUAAGAUCAAGAACCAGUAAUCCUGUUUCAUGAAACUGAGAAGGAAUAACAAGGGAAUGCUUACCAUAAGUAGCGAAAAGGGGGCAAUGCGGUUAAGAGUUGUGUGAAUUGCGAGCAAAUUCUACACAAGGAAGAAGGCCAUGCCAGUUAUAUUGGUUAUGUGAUUAGUCUGGGGAUGAUAUGAUGAGAAAAAAGACAAUGAAACCCCCCGUUCAGAACAAACCUUCCACUAAAAUAGAGAUGUAACGGACCGCCUGGCACACCGACCGUUUACCUGCGUCUAUUGCUGCUUCCUAGUACAAUCAUUGCACUGGAACACGAUAACCACCGUAGACCCCACGAACCACUGCAGCUUGGUUGGGGUCUCGCCGUCCUCCACCUACCCUGGACCCAAGACAAGGAUCCAGCUUCCAGUGGGUAGACCUCUCCUAGUCCAGAGAACAUAGCAGGAACAGGGGACAAACCGCAGCACUUCUUGCCCUAAGUCGCCAUAGCUUGACUGGGGCCCUGGAACCGCUCCUUCCUGGAGCCGAAUGGGGAGUUAGCUCUAACACCUCCAGGCACUGGACAACACUCAGUCCUGGGAACUCUGGAACCGAAUGGGGAAUUAGCUCUAGUCCUUACACGGACUUUCCCCUAUGAAUCUCCUGCAAGCUGGAACAGCAGACACAGGAGCAAAUCUUUCCCUCCAAUAACAGGAUGAAAGAUAGUUUUGGAGUGUUAGCAGGAACAGGAAGUUUAAUGGCACACACUGGUCUUUUAUACAAGUUAUACAGCAAAGGUGACGCCCAGGUGGACCUGGUUGGGCACCGAAUACAAAACAUACAAGCCAAUAAAAACAGAGGUUUACAUUCAGACACCCAAUACAGUGUACACAAUCCCUCCCCUCUGCCUGUGAUAUAAUUAACGAAGACUGUGGACUAACUCAAUUAACUCUAAGCAGAAAAAACAUAAAUUUUUACAAACCCCAAAAUAAAAAAUAAUCCCCACAAAAGUCACAUCCCUGAUAGCCCCGAUCUGGGUGAACAACAUAUCCAAAAAUCACCAAGAUGGGUUUAGCAAUUUCCUGGAAGUCUUAUUUUUGCCCCACCGUGCACAUAGUCCAAUGCCCAAAAUAGUUCCAUACACUCAACGACAAAACACUGCUGAACAAUUUAAGAUGGCUGUUGCCACGUGUUUGAAUCUGUUCCAGUUAGAAGUGUCCAAGGGGUAGAAACAGUACUUUUGAACAUGGGUUAUCACAGGGCCCAUAGUCCCAGGGUAGGAGGCUGGCAAGCAGGCCCCUCCAAAAACUCAUGGCAAAAAGGGGAGUUUGUCACACAUCUCUCCUCUCCUGGGGAGACUAUCCAGACCCCAGACCUCCCAUCUGGGGCUCUGAUAGUCUGUUGGCCUUUCCCAAAAGGCGUAGUGUUCCAGUUGGCCUCUUUCCACAAGGGCCCAGUUUUAGAUCCAGUGUCCUGCGAGGAAACAACUUGGAUGCCUCCCCCUGGUUGGACAAAGUUGUUGCUGGGGACGGUGGGUGCAGUCUCCCUCCUCUGUGCCUGGUGUGUAGAGGCCAGCGGCGCUCUGCCCCACAGCCAGUGGUUCAGCUGGCCCCAGAACAAAGGGGUAGUUAGGGCAGAGGCUAGCUGCGCUCUGCCCAGAUGACAGCUCUUCUGCUGGGAUGGGGUCAGUGAGUACUACCCGGUUAAUUGAUAAUAGUGGAAACUGUGUGAUUCUUUUAAGUCAUAUGUCCUGCUGUACUAUCACACCUGGUUACCAAAGGGAGUCUAUGAUUGGAUGGUCCUCGAGCCAACUAAUCCUGUCCCCAUUUUGUAAUUGGGUGAAUUUAGACCAUGUAAUUAUUUAAGGUAUAGCUUUAUACUAAUCACAUUUGUUUUUAAAUAUAGGGUCUUUCAAGUUAUAUUAUUGGUGGAUUCAUUGCUUUAAGGGUAUAUUGUGAUAUUGCUAUAUCUUAUGCUAAUUUAUUUAUUACACCUAGGAUUAAAUUUGUGGAUGACAACUCGGCAUGGUUUAAUGAACAGCAAUACCGUGAUAUCCAUCUAUGACCAUAUUGUCGCCAAUUAUAUUUGUCUUUAUAAUAUGACAAUAUAUCAUUAUAGACUCGGAUAUAUUCCUAUCUAAUGGUUAAGAUGUUAACAACUUCUUAUAGUGGAACAUGCAAUUGAGUAGCUUUUGCAAAUUAUGUAUUUUGAUAAAACUUAGAUACAUCUUUACUCAAUAGCUAAGAUGUUAACAACAUCCCACAGCAAAGCAUUGAGCUAAGAAUCCGUUGCAGAUUAGAUUAAACGUGCUGAAUAUAUUUUUAAGACCUAAUGGUUAAGUUGUCAAUGACCCCUUUGAGUAUAAACAUCAAUCAUAGUACCCUUCACAAUUUGGCUAUAGUUCUUGAUAUAUAUUUUGGAUAUAUCUUUAUCUAAUACUUAAGAUGGUAACAACACUUCAUGAUGCAUACAUCUAGCAAAGAUUUUUUUAAUUAAGCUAUGUGACCUCAAUAUGUUCAUGACGCUUAGUAAUUGAUAGUGCUCUUGAUAGUUUGAGCUUUCGGCAUUUUUUAUCCACAUACGUAAUAUACAGUGAAUAAUAGCCCACAGGUAUCUGACAGUAAAGCGGACAUCACAAGCCCGCCCCUAAGCUCUCCAAUACGCCCACUGUUUGUCAAUGUUGGAUCCCGCCCAUACAUCCCACGUGGGAUAGGAUAAACCACACUGUGAUGCAGUACCUCCCCGAUGGGCGUGUCGGUACGAGCGAGAGGGCAGCCUUUUCAGAUUUAUGACGGCAGCUGGUAAGGCAGUUAAUCUUUUCCUGAUUACUAGGUCAACAUAAGGUGGUACAAGCACUUUCUAAUGUUAGUUUAUUGGUGCCAUUCCUUAAGCUUAUUAACAGUGGCGUACACACAACCCAGGGGGCCCCGGUGCGAAAACUGAUCCGUGGGCCCCCUCCCGCGCGCUUACUCUGACCGGGCCGGGGCCGCAACACAUGGCGGCGGGCACCGCAGUAUGUACGCAAGUGCAUGCAGAUACACUUAAAGGACCACUACAGACACCCAGAUCACAUCAGGUCAAUGAAGUGGUCUAGGUGCCAGGUCCCUCUAGUUUUAACCCUGUAGCUGAAAACAUAGCAGUUUCAGAGAAACUGCUAUGUUUCACUGAGGGUUAAUCCAUUCUCUAGUGGCUGUCUCACUGACAGCCGCUAGAGAAGCUUCCGCGAUUCUCACUGUGAAAAGUGAGAACGUCCAUAGCAAAGCAUUGAGUAAUGCUUUCCUAUGGGCGGUUUUAAUGCGUGCGAUGCUCUUGCCGUGCAUGCGCAUUCGGAGUUGAGAGGUGGAUUGGGGUGGAGGGAUCCCCAGCACCAAGGGAGUCCGGCGCUGGGGAAAGGUAAGUGCUGAAGACACACACACUCUCACGAACAGACGCAUACACACUAACUAACAGACACACACACACACUCUCACAAACAGACGCAUACACACUAGCUAACAGACACACACAUUUACUGACAGACAAGCACUCAGUGACAGACAUACAUACACACUCACUGACAGACAGACACAUACACACUCACUUACAAAACACAGACAUCAAACAGACUCACUAACAGACGCACACAAACUAACACACACACAGUAACACACUCACUGACACACACAAACUAACACACACACUGACACUAACACUAACACACACACACUCUAAUACUAACACAAACACUAAAACACACACACUCUAACACUAACACACACACUGGGAUUGCAUUUUUAAAAAAACGUUUGUGUGUGUUAGUGUGUGCGUUAGUGUUAGAGUGUGUGCAUGUUACACAAACUCUAACACACACUGUAACACUAACACAUACACACGUUUAAAAAAAAAUGUAAUCCCAGUGUGUGUUAGUGUUAGAGUGUGUGUAUGUGUUAGUGUUACCAAACACACGCUAACACACACACACUCUAACACUAACACACACACACGCUUUUUAAAAAAUGUAAUCCCCCAGCCUCCCUACCUUUGCGAGUGCUGAAGGGAUUCCCUGGGGUCCAGUGGUGCUGCUGGGCGGCCGGUCACCGUCAUAUUCCGGCUCCGGCAUCAGUGUGGUGCGUGAGGGAGCUGGGCAGAGAGCGCUCAGGGGAGAGUUUUUCCUCGCGCGCCCGCCAUCCCAACCGCCGGGUGACACCAGGGCCGGCCUCGGUACAUACUGGGUCGCAGGGCGGCCGGGGCCCUUGGUGGGCCAGGCCCAGUAUGUACGCCAUUGCUUAUUAAGCAUACACCCCUGUGAGAGUCUCUUUGUAUAUCGAACUAGGCACAUUGGAUAAGACACUAUAGGGAACACCCCCUUAAACAGCUGAUCCUAAUUAGGGUUAAUGAACCCUUGGGUAUUUAAAUGGAAUCUUUGAUAAGAGAGCUCACUUUCCCCUUGACGACGAGCAUCGGGCUCGACUUAUUUAUUUUUAAAGACAAAAAAACAAAAAAAAACAACAAGGGUACUAAAUAAAAUAAAUAGAUAAGAAAUAUAUAUAGCCAAACACGAAAUAGGUGAAUAAUAAAAAUAUUAUACAACCUGAGAAAACAAUACAAAGUAUUCUGUAACAUAAGUAAAAAAUGUAUAUGGUGUAGUAUGUUAAAUAUAAAUAUUGAUAAAUAUUGAGGUGAGGGUGGUAGAGAACUCACUAGAUGGAUGUAUAUUCAGGCAUUUGUCCCAUAAAUAGGGUCAGGAAAGUGGAUGGAUAAUCUUCAAACAAGAUCUAACAGAAAGAAGAAAAAAUAUAGUGCAGACGGUAUUAAAAUAUAUUUUAAUACCGUCUGCACUAUAUUUUAAUACCAUCUUUACUUAACUUUGAGUGUCUUGAUAGAGAACACUUUUCCUUAAAGGGUCUAAUUGUGUUUUGGGAGCAUAUAGUGAACCACUCUUGUGUAUUUUUAUUUAUUUUUAACCAUGCUAUUUUGCACGUGUUAGGUAGCACUUUUUCUUUUGAGUUACUUAUAUAGGGUCUUUGGUUCAGGUAGGCACUAGCUUUGUGCGGUGCCGAGGUAUUAGGGACAGAUGUGGAUCAAUUCUCUAUGGGGUAUGGUGAUAAUGGUGGGAAUGGAGCAGUGAUUUUUAAUAAUCGUUUAGGGAGUUUCUUUUCUGUUUUGUCUCUGAUUACUAAUUAUUAACCUCCAACUAGCUGAUGUGUAGGAGAUUCUCUCUUUUUUAGUAGAGAUUCAGAUUAUCCCCCCUUCCCUUAUCACCUCUCAUUGGUUUCUUCCUAAUAGCAGGGUAUCCUUUUCAAGUGGAACGCUCAUCUGCACCCUAUGGCUGAUUCCCUUAUACCUAGUAUGUACAUAUUGAUCCUAUAUAGGACCCUUUAAUUGUUAAUGGUAGCUUAAUGCCUUAAGGAUAAAUAAAGGUUUUACAUAUAUUUUGGCUUUUAGGCUACUAAUCUAAUUUAAGUUGUACUUACUCCUAGACAUCCACUUCCAUUUGGAGUGAAUGUCUUGGAUAUUGUUCUUUUUCUAUCAUCCGUGAGGUAUAGCCAAUAUCCCUCUAGGCACCGUGAGCAAGGGAUCCAUGUCUGGAUUGCCCUUUAAACUUAAAUAUAAUAUAUUUACACCUCAACAGUCCCCCCCCCCCGCCCCCCUCUGUUUUUUCUUUACUAUCUUGUAUUUACCAAAUUGAGUACCAGGCGCAGUCCAAGGCAGUGCUAGAAAGCUUUGCCCAGAGAGAUCUAUUCCCUGUCAGGGAAAAAACAAAGAGGAGCUAUUACAAGCACUGGUGGACUAUGAUAUGCAACAAGCAGUGCAAAGUGAUGCCUCAAACACUGCAGAGGAGACACCUAUACCUUUUAUCCAUGAUGUACCGAGAUCUGGAGAUCCUUUGGAUUGUUACUAACUGUGUUAAAAUAUGUAGACUCGGCAGAUACAAACCAAAAACUACAGCAUAUUCUUCAAUAUCAGGAGGCUGAGAGAGAGAGUGGCUGCAGAGUGCCAAGCCGAGCGGGAGCGCCAAGCUGCCAGAGAGCAUGAGCUAAAAAUGGCUGAGUUGGAAAGGUUGAAUGCCUCCUCUAUAAGUAUUAAUUCCAGAGACUCUUCUGCACCCAAACCACGUGCAGAGAGUUUUCCAGCUUUGGAUAGAGAUGGUGAUUUGGAUGUUUUCCUGCGCAGUUUCGAAAAAGUUUGCAGGCAGUACCAGCUACCAAAGGACCAGUGGGAAAGGUACCUCAUCCCUGGUCUCAAAGGUCCUGCACUGGAAGCAUUUGCUGCACUGGAAGCAGAAUCUGACCAGGACUGUGAUACGAUUAAGGCUGCCUUGCAAAGACAGUACAACCUUACACCUGAGGUGUACCAAAAGAAAUUCAGGACUUUGCAAAAGUGUUCCACAGAAAGUUGUGCUGCCGUUGUGGGGCACCUGGCAACAGCAUUCAGGCAGUGGGCUACAGGGCUGGAGAUUACCACUUUGGAAAGUUUGCAAGACGUGUUAAUAGAACAACAGUUUUUGCAGCUCUGCCCCACUGAUGUACAGGAAUGACUGCUGGACCAGAACCCCAAAACAGCAUUGGAGGCGGGUGAACUGGCAGAUUUCCACACUGCCAACCAAGCAACAGUGGAACGAAUCAGAGGCUUUGCCAAGGGAGCAUCCAACUGAGGGGGAGCUAGUGCCAUCUCUGCACAAGGAGAUAGUCACAGAUGUUUUAUUUGCAACUACGUGGGGCACAUCAGUGUUACUUGCCCUGGGAAACGGCAGCCAGCAUCAUCAGCUUGGGAGGGAUGCUCCUCAGAACUGUUUUGUUUGUAACCAUAUCAGAGAGCAGCAAGAAUUUGAAUCUGCAACCUGUGACAAUUGGAAAGAAGGUAGCUGUAGGACUCAGGGACACUGGGGCAGAUGUGACUCUUGUCACUUCUAGUGCGUUCUGAAGACUUAAUUCCUUGCAGGACUCUAGCAGUUAAAGGUAGUGUCAAUGGCACAAGUUUAUCUGAUUGGGGUGCAGGGAAGGGUUUCAGAAAUGUAGGGGUAGAUGAGAAUAUCCCCUAAAUCAGUAUUACUUGGUACUGAUUUAGGUAGAUUGUUAUCCCAGUAUGUGCCUGAAAAUAAUGUGUGUUAUAAACCCAAGCCUCGUAGGGGCCCUAUUGUGCAGAGGGCAAUAUGUAACAGUGUGCCAAGAAAAGUUGCUAAGAGGGAGGGCAAAAUGAGCAUGCGUGCCAGGCUGUGCCAAAACCAGAGUUGUCUGUGGUACAAGGUGAAUGUUGGCCAGGGCAACUUCGCUGGGAGGGAGGGCAGAAUGUGUGUCAAUCUGUGCCUAACUGUGGAAACGUGAAAAUGUAGGCAGGAAAUUGUGCUGGGAGGGAGGGUAGAAUGAGCAUGCGUGUUAGUCUGUGUCAGAACUAGCAAUGUCUGCAAUACCAUGUGAGAAUAGGCAAAAACAACUUCACAGGGAGGUAGGGCAGGAUGAGCGUGUCUGCCUAUCUGUGUCAGAGCCAGGGUUGUUUGAGAUGCCAUGUGAAAAUGUACAGGAACAGCCUUCUAGCAAGAAGGGGCUGAAUGAAUAUAUGUGCCUGAAGCAAAUGUAUCUGAUGUUCUGCAUGAAUAUGUAGAAAAACUGGGCUGGGAGGGAGAGCAGAGUGUAUGUGCCAGACUCAGCCAGUUCCCCAAGGUUCUGUUUGUGUGAGAAUAUGGAGUGAAAUUGAGGGAGAGACAGGGGUUCCAUCAGUAGAAAGGGAGACUUAUCCACAGUCUGCCCAAAGUGAAGGGCAGGGACAGACUCAGCUUGUGGAUCCAGGAAGGAUGUCCGCAGGGGAGCAUACUGUUAGGGGAACCAGGAAACUUGUCAGCAUCUCACAUCCCGCAUACCCCCUGCUGGCUCAGGAGCAGGAGUCUGUCGCUAAGCCACUUUCUGAUUCUGAACCAAAGGUUCAGAGUCAGAUAGUGCAAUGAGCCCAGCAGACAGACCCUAAAAUAAAAGAGAUAAAGGGUGUUGAUACAGUGCAAGUACCCUGGGAGUGUUCUCUGUCUCAUCUUUUGUGUGCUUACGGGGAAGUACUGCAGAAAUAUGUUGGUUUCUUUCCCUUAGAGCUACUACAUGGGCGCAGUGGGUGUGAUCCGAGAGAUGUGACCAGAGAGCAGUGGGAAAUGGAAACCGGCAAAUCAGGCAUGUGUGUUGUGGAUAUGGCUGUGAUAUUGCUUAGGGACUAAAGGCAAGCCUUUUAGGGGUAGGUGUGCGAACACGAGUACUACCCCAUUCAUGCAGUAUUGUAUUUAGGAUUUGUGCUGCCCUAGGCAGGACGGUGCUCGGGCACCCUUCUAAUUUAAAUUUUCUCCACCCUUUCCUAUCAAGGCCGUACUUUGACUGACAGACGCACACUCACUAACAGAUGCAUACACUCAUUGACAGACACACACUCUCAUAUACACUAACAAACAAUGACAUACACUCACACUCACUGAUUUGACACACUGAUAGACAGACACACACUAUUACUCAGACACACACUGACAGACACACACUCACUGACAGACGCACGUACUCACUGACUGGCACAUACACACUCACUGAGCGACAUACACACACAUUCACUGACCGAUAUACACACAUGCACUUAGACACACACACUUACAGACACACACACACUUAGACACACACACACAUUCACUCACAGACACACAUACACACAUUUCCACCAACACUCACAAAUUAUUAUAAAUUUUUUAAUUUAAAUCCACCCAGCCUCCCUGGGAGAGCUGGAGUGGAUUACUUACCUGUGGUCCAGUCGGGCUGCUGCGAUGGCAGGCAGGGGGUUGACUGGCUGAGUAGGUGGCGAGGGAGCUCUGAUUUUCCUGCUCAGCUCCCUUACGCGCCACUUAGUGAUGCCAAGAGCCGGAUUGACGUCAUAUUCCAGCUCCCGGCUUCAUUAGGCGGCGCACAAGGAAGCUGAGCAGGAAGGGCUCAGGUGAGCAUGCUCCCUCGCUGCCUGCCGCCCGCCUCGGGGUAGCUCAGAAGUGGCCAGCUCUUGAGCCCCCCAGGACAUGAGGCAAACAAGGGAUCUGCUGCCCCCUGCCUUGUUUGCCUCAUGGAAGAUACAUCACUGCAUUCAUGCAUAAAUAGUGGUAUGAAAAAGAUGAGUGUAUGAGGUGGAGGCAAAAAGGAACAUGUGUUGAUGCGCAAGGUAGAGGCAUGUGAGCCUUCUCCCACUGCGUCUCUUAUUUGGGGGAGGUGUCACAGCAAGGGUGCAUAAUUUAUUAUUACACUAUGGAAUAUUGCUAUUUAAGAUAACUUGUGUAGUGCAUCAAUAAUUUGACACUUGGGUAGAUGACAAAUGGCAGAGAGAAAUUGCUCUUUUGAUCAAAAGGGGCUUCUGCAAGGUGUGAAAAGGAUUGCCCUUUUGAUCUAUCAUAGGCCCUACAAGGUGAGACAUUUUACACUUGAGCCGCCUGUAUGUCUAGUUUCAAUGUAAACCAACUGACUUUGACCAUAUGGCCUUAAACUCUCAAUUGAUUGUUCAAUGCUUUGAUAUGGUAAUGGUAUUCGUUUCAUGAAGACCCUUGUGUUCCAGUAUCAUAUCCAAGAGAAACAUUAAUACUUACCCACAGCUUAAUAAUUAAGCCUCAUUUUUAUUAUAUUUGGAAUGGGACAUGCCCAAUCUUUUAAUUAAGACUAAACAUGCACAACUUAAACCGUGUGGCAGGAAUUGUGAUGUCCAUCCUAUUGGAUCGCGGGUGGGGUGUGCAACGUAUCUAUGGGAUGGGAAAAUAAUAAACUCGUAGAUGCAAUUAUUAUUUCUGUGGCAGAUACAUAAGAGAAGAUAGAGCCAAAUAUUUCCAUUUGGAUUGACGUUGGUCUGGAACAAAGGAGGUGGUCACUUAUUAUUUCUAUAGGUACACCUUAACACCACCCCUGGGCAAAACUUGAUAAUCCACAGGGUCUUAAUCCAAUGGUUUGGUGUACUUGCUUGGGGCCGAGAUCUAAUUUUGAGUGAGUCACCAUCAUCCUUCCUUGCUAGAGACCCCCUGGGCAGAAGUUAUACUUUGAAAACCUAAGGACUUUUAUUUUAUCCUUUUUGUUAUCUGUUGUUGGUGUAAAUCAUUUGUUUAUCAUAUAUUUUUGAAUGCAAUGUGACUAUUAUUUUGCUCAUAAUAAACAUUAAUUUAUUAAGUUCUGCCUUUGUCUGGUUAAGAAUCACGUUACCUAAAGAGACUAAUUAGUAUUUUGCAAUUACAAUUUUGUGCUUUGGUGGGUUUUUAUUAUUGAUUUACCUGGGGGACCAAGGCACCCCAUUUAUAAAUUGCCUUGGUGGUGGCAGCAUUAAAAUAGUAAUAGUUAUAUUAUUAUGUUUAAGUGUGGGUGGUGCUAAGGGGGUUUUGUCAUUAUUUCCAGUCUAGUGUAGACAAAUAGUGAGUGUUAACCCUUUCACCACAACAACUACAUCACACACACUCUUGAAGUAGGGUGUGUUUGUGACAAAGGUCGCUAACAAACUUUUUAUCUAUGAAGCUCUCAGCGGCUCCUGAAUCGACAAGAGCUUUACAAGAAAUGUUAUGCGCACCCCAAGAUAGAAUAACCAAGAGGAGGAACCUGUUGUGAGGCAUGACAGAGAACGAUUUCAUUACACCUAAGGCCGGUCCUGUAACGGUGAUUAGGUGUGGAGGUCUUCCGGAUGUAUAGGGCAGUUUAGGCAUAAAUGUCCCUUUUUUCUGCAAUACAAGCAUAAACCCUCAGCCCUACAAUAGUUUCUCAGCUUCCGAUAGCUUCAUCACUCACAGUUGUAUGGGUUUAGACUCAGUGGCAAUUGCAGGAGCAGAUGGAGUCAUACGAGGAGCUGGAGAAACAGAAGAACGGACAGUUCGUGUUUUGGUCUUUGCUCUCUCCCUAAGGCGAUUAUAUCCAUCAUAUAGACCAUAUAGUCUUCCAAUAAGUCUGGUAGGUCUUUAGCGGAUGUUUCAUCUGAGAAAGCUGUAACCAAACAACUAUUUGUCCAAUCUACCUCAGCUGCUAGCAUGCAAAAUUCUAUGGCGUAAUCCGCACCGGAUCUAUUGCCCUGUUUUAUCCGCAUUAACGCCUUGGCUGCCUCCUGAAGUAGCCUGCUCGCUAGUCUCCUGCCCAAGGAAAAUGGGCCAUGUACCAGACUUCUAAAAGACUUGGUUUGUGUGGUUUCCCUUUAUUGUUUGGGAACCUAACUGAACCGAAGCACAAGAACCAAAAUACCGAACUGCGGACCACCUCUGGGCUUGUUAUCCCCUACUGACUUCUCCGGACACCUCCAUCAUCGUUUUCACACUAUGGAUUCUAAGUGUUCAGCUGGGCAUCUUGUUCGCAUUAACGUAGGCAUGGUCGUCGAGUGCGUGGAACUAAAAUCAGACAAUCUAACUCGCGAACACCGCUGAACUUUGACGAACACCUGUUUCGUUGCUAUUCAUGUCAGGAGAGUGCCAUUCGGAAGGAUUGUUCGCAUGAACUAGGCGAACAAUCGCUACCUAGGAGCCAGAGGACGGGUUCGGUAUUUUGUUAGGUUUUGGACUCCCGAAAUUGACCGACCGCUACCACUUUUCUUAUGGAACUAUUUUGGGCAGAAGCCACGUGUGGCGUCAGUCAAAAGUUUCCAUCUAAACCACCAAACUGAUCUGAGUGAUUUUGGAUAUGAUGGUCACUCAGAUCAGGGCUAUCUGGGGAUGUGACUCUUUAGGGGUUUCCAUGUAUUUUGGGGGUACUUUUUGGGUGUUUAUAAAUUUAUUAUUUUCUGUACCUGGAGAUAAUUGAGUUUGUACAGUUCCUGACUCAAUUAUCUCUCAGGCACAGGGGAGGAGUUUACUGUGUGUAUACAUGCUGAAGCUUUGCCUGCAUUAAACAGAUCUACAGCUAUACUCUCUGUAGGAGAGCUUUGACCACUCGGAGCUGGAUCCAGGAUCUUGGUCUAGGGUGAGAAGCGAUGGCGAGACCCCAGCCAAGCUGUGGCUAGGAGCUAAAAGUGCUUUUGGCAAUAGCUAGGAAUCGUGUUUGGCGGAGGUACCCAGUCAGGGUACCAGGCGGACCGCCACAGUAGGUAAGCCGAAGUUCAAGGGAUACAGAGAUUGGAACAGUCAGUAAGAAAGCCAAUGUCAAAAUACACAAGAAACAAUACCAGAAACGCGCUCUCGGAUAACCAGAAUGGAAACCAUGACAGGGCACCGAGAAAUGGACAAAAAAGGUUUAAAUAGCCUAAGGUUCUCCUUGAUUGGCUGCACAGGAGCAUGUGACAGUGGUCACACACAUGUUCCCAGUGGUUAUGCACUAAAGGGUUAAUUAAGAACCUUAAAAGGUUCUUACUUGCAGCGGAUGGCGUCUUUAAUGUUUACAGACCCAUCCGCUGUGUGAGGAGAGGAGUGCCUGUCAGUGAGGCCAGCAGGAGGAGGUGAGUAAUCGGCGGCAUUCCCAUUGGCAUGUGGGAAUGCCGCUGCAACGGGAUGCACAUGCCGGGUCCCAGUCCUCUCUGGUUCGAGCAGACCCGACAGGUGCCAUGACCAGGGGUAAGUACUCCACCGCAACGAGACGUGCCCGCCGGGUCCCAGACCGCUCUCUGGCAGAAGCGGGCCCGGCAGAUGGCAUCACCGGUGUAGUGACACAAAGGGUAUAAGUAAUGGUAACGAAGUAGGUUGCUAGAAAAGUAUUCACUGAGGGCUAAGUAGGUUAUUUUUGACAGUUGCAAGAGAGGAGUCAUGGGGGGAUGAAAACCUGCUAACAGUUCAUGUUAUAUGUUUUCCUGAAGAAGUGAGUUUGAAAAUAUUUUUUGAAGGAGUGGAGACUAGAUCUUCGGCAAAGCGCAGGGGCCUCGACGUACUUGUGUAUAAGGGAGGAUAGGUAGGUUGGAGCAGCAUUGUGUAGGGACUUGUAUGCAAGCACCAGAAUCUUAAAUUGAGACCUAUCUCUAACUGGAAGCCAAUGUAGGGACUGACAGAGGGGGAAGGUGUGGGGGCGGGUAGACAGGAAAAUUAGCCUCGCCGCCGCAUUCACUAUAGAUAGCAGUGGUACAAGCUGGGAAAACGUAAGACCACUGAGAAGAGGAUUGCAGUAGUCAAGGCGAGAAUGAACAACGGCAUGGACCAGCACCUUAGCCGUGUCCCGUGUUAAACAAGCUAUGUUUUUGAGACGAAAGUGUCAGGAUUUGGUGAUCGACUGGACAUGAGGGGUGAAGGAGAGGUCGGAGUCAAACAGAACACCUAGGCAGCGAGCCUGUGAGGUAAAGGUGAUGAUGGCACCGUGGACUUGGAAGGAGACACACGGGAAUAGCAACACUUGAGGGAGGAAAGACCAAAAGUUUUGUUUUGGACAGGUUGAGCUUAAGGAAGUGAGCAGCCAUCCAGUUGGAAAUCACGGAGAGGCAGUCAGAGACAUGAGUCAAGAUGGGCAGAAAGAGAUUAGGAAAGGACAGGUACAUUUGCUUAUCAUCUGCAUAUAAAUGAUAAUGGUGGCCAAAGAAGCUUUACCAAGGGAGACAGUAUAGAUAGAGAACAGUAGUGGACCAAGGACAGAGCCAACAGAGAGGGGUUGGGGAGAAGAGGCUGAGCCAGAGAAAGAAACACUGGAAAAGCGCUGGGAGAGGUAGGAGGAGCACCAGGAGAGAGCAGUAUCAUGUAGACCGAGAUUACGGAAAAUGAGAAGAAGGCAGCAAAAAAAUGAAGGAGAAUUAGGAUAGAGUAACGGCUGUGAGAUUUAGCAACUAUUAAAUCGUUGGAUAGUGGGUCAAGCAGAGAGUUGGCUUCGAGGAAGUCUGUCAGUUUCACAUACACAGCACUCUCAUGGAUCUUGGAGGCAAAUGGCAGUAGCGAUAUAGGGUGGUAGUUGGAUGGGGAGCUGUGGUCAAGGUUUGGCUUUUUCAAAAUCAUUAUGGUUGCAUGUUUAUAGGGUGAUGGAAAUGUGCCAGAGGAAAGACAGAAAUUUAAAAUUUUAGUGAGAGGGAAUAUGAUCGAGGGAACAGGUGGUGGGGCGAGAGGAGCGGAACAGGGCAGAAACCUCUUCUGUUGUAGCAGGUGUGAAUGAGCAUAGAACAGCGGAGGGAGUGGGGUUGGGUGGUGUAUUGGUAGGGGAGGGAGAGACAUUAGAGAUCUUUUCUCUGAUUGUAGAAAUCUCAGUGAACUGAGUUGCAAAGUUUGAGGUGGUAGGAGGAGGGGGAGCAACAGGGCGAAGAAGAGCAUUAAAAGUGUGAAAUAAGCAUUUGGUUUGGCAGGACUGUGUGUUUAUGAGGGUAAUUUACUUUUGUAGAGGAACGAGCCAGACUGUAGGAGCACAGCAUAAAUUUAUAGUGGAGGAAGUCAGGUGCAGAUUGAGACAUUUGGGAGCUAUUGGGUCAGGUUGGUGUGCCAGGGUUGUAAUUGGGAGCGCUUGCUGCGUUUAAAUGUAGGAGGUGCCAUGAUGUCUAGUUGAGAAGAGAGAGUGGGGUUGUGGAGUGAGGUUGCAGAGUUAGGGCAAGUGAGAUGUGUAAAAGGAGAGUUUGAUGGAGAAAUGCUGGAGAUCAAGGCAGUGGAGGUUUCUGCGAGAUUGGAGAGUUGAGGGUGGUGAGAUUUAGGUACGAGGUAUGCUGAUGUCAAAGGUCAGCAGAUGGUGGUCAAACUAAGGAAAUGGAACAUUGGAAAGAUUAGAGGUACAGGAGUGGUACAGAGAUUGGUGAAGAUGAGGUCAAGAGUGUUUCCUGCUGUAUGAGUUGCUGAAGUAGACCACUGUGUGAGGCCAAAGGAGGAGGUUACAGAAUGCCGAUGGGAACCAUCAGGGCAGUUGAGGUUGUUGAUUUGGGAUGUUAAAGUCCCCAAGUAUGAGGGAAGGAGUGCUAAAGGAGAGAUGGUGGGGUAGCCAUGAAAAAAGGUGUUUAAUGAAUAGCCUAGGAUGAGCAGGGAGGUGAGGUGGCAAUAGAUGACGGCAAUUCUGAAAUGAAAGGGCUUAAAUAUGUGGGCAGUGUGAACAUCAAAGGAAGUAAAGGAUAGGGCAGGGAGGAUAGGUUGAAAGGUAUAUUGAGGGUAGAGAAGGAUGCCUACACCGUUUCCCUUACAACGGAGUCUGGGAGUGUGGGAGAAUUGUGGACCACCAAAGCAUAAAGAAGCAGGAGUAGCGGUAUCAGAGGAUGACAGCCAGGUCUCAGUGAGUGCUAAGUAGUGUGAGUGAAUUAGAGAUGAAUAGGUCGUGUAUGGCUUUUGAUUUAAUAUUGUUACAGAUGGAACGGGCGUUCCAAAGUGCACAAUGAAUGUUGGUAGAGGAGGAGAAACUGCAGGGUAUUUGGUUGAGGUUUGCAUGGUUUCUGGUGUCUUAGUGUGGGCAGAUGAGGUGAACGGUCCUGGGUUGGGAGAGACAUCAGCAGUUGCUAGAAGUAGGAUGAGAGAUAGUGACAGGAGGUGUGAAUGGGUUUUAUAUGGGCUGAGAUCCGGUGGGAGAGAAUAGAGAAAUGAGUGCCGGGCAUGAGAUGAGAGAUGGGGGGAGUGUAGCAGAGAUGGAUUAAUGUGAUUGUGUUGUUGAGGGAAGUGGGUGUAAGGAGAUAUUUUGAUGCUGAGGGAGAGGAGAGAAUAGGAAAAGAUAGAGCAUUGCUCAGACGAGCAAGUACUUUGAGAAUGAGCAGAAGUAAGGAGAAUGAGAACUGAAUGUUAGUGGUUAAGGGAGUGCAGGAAUGUGCUGAUUACAGGUAGUGUUUGCAGCUGUCAUUUCUAAUUAUCUAAAGUUGUGUGUGAGAUUCUAUCUAUAAAUGGAAUAAAUAGCUUGGGGUGGGGGGGAUAAUGGAGAACUGUUCUGGUUUCCAACAGGAAACGUUUUAACUCAGACUGUGAAAGACAGAGAUGACAGGGUCAAAAAAAUACCUGCAAUAAAGCUAUGGAAUGGAGAUGCAUAGAGGAAAUGAGCAUUGGUCAAGCAAGACAUUCGGGUGGGUAUCAAUAAAAUAAAGAGUGGGUGCAGAAAUAACAGAAAACGUCUUUAGAGGUAAGCAGAUAGGUGAAUAACAUUUAAGUUAACAAGCCAACAAUGUUGAGUAGGUUGAGAAGGGCUUGAACAACUAGCUUGAGCAUGCAGGGCAAGGCAAAGUAAAAUAUGUUUGUAUUAUGAAUAAACAUCUACACAUACAAACACAAAUAUAUAUAUAGAUCUUGAUAAACCUGUGGGUCGAAAUGUCGAUUUUAUUUGAUACAAUACAAUCGAGCUUUUUUGAAAAACCCAUUGAGUGCUCUCAUUUUUUAAUUUCUUAUAUAACCUUUAUGCUGUGCAGCACCAUGGUCAUUUGGAUUUAACCCCUUAAGGACUGAGUUUGUUUUUAUUUUUUUUAAUAUAUUUAUAUAUCUAUAUAUAUAGAGAGAGAGAGAGAGAGAUUGUAGCCGUAUUAGUCCAGUGAUGUAGAUGUAAAAAACAGAUAAAAUUCUUAUCUUGUAAUACCUUUUUUAUUGGACUAACAGAAUUUUUUAAUGACAAGCUUUCGGGAGAACCUCCCUUUCUCAAGUCUGAAGCAAAAUUCUGUUAGUCCAAUAAAAAAGGUAUUACAAGAUAAGAAUUUUAUCUGUUUUUUACAUCUAUAUAUAUAUAUAUAUAUAUAUAUAUAAAUAUCAAAAUACUUUUAGAAUGAAAUUGCAUAUAUAUAUAUAUAUAUAUAUAUAUAUAUAUAUAAUUUUACAUUGUUUUUAUUAUUUAAUGUAUUAUUUUGUUUUUAUUAUUAUCCUUUAUUUAUGUAAAGGCUUGCCUGGAGUUGUGGGAGCGGCGUGUGAUCCUAUUUAAACUCACCCCCCUUUUUCUGCAUCACCUUUGACUUCGGCAGGUAUCACUUCCGGUUUCAGACUUCCGGGUUACGAUCACUUCCGGUUCGCGGUCUGUGCGUUCAGAUCGGCUAACAGCUGCGUUUUUUCCAACAUGCUCGGGGGGCACUAAAAUCGUGAGUCUUGCAUACUCCGGUCCCCUCACCAUCUGCCACACGCCGGAUGGUCCAUAGGGGUGGGGGGGCUGGCAGUAAAACGCACAGACACAUCAGCCAGAGACCACACAGGUCUCCACACUGCUGACAGGUUUCGUUUCAGCUUACUUAGUACACUAUUAAAAAGAAGCUUACAUGCUUCUGGGGAAGUUAAACUGUAAAUACUGUAUCAAAUACCACAGUACAACUACUGGGCGGCAUAUGUAUACUGUUAUGACAUAAUACUUGCUUCAUACUAUUUUAUACUUAACACAUACUAACUAAACUGCAUACCAAUGUAUACUUUGUCAUACUACUUACUGCAUACUACUGUAUACUUAGCACAUACUAAUUAAACUGCAUACUAAUGUAUACUUUAUGUCAUACUACUUACUGCAUACUACUGUAUACUUAGCACAUACUAACUAAACUGCAUACUAAUGUAUACUUUAUGUCAUACUACUUACUGCAUACUACUGUAUACUUGGCACAUACUAACUAAACUGCAUACUAAUGUAUACUUUAUGUCAUACUACUUACUGCAUACUACUGUAUACUUGGCACAUACUAACUAAACAGCAUACUAAUGUAUACUUUGUCAUACUACUUACUGCAUACUACUGUAUAAUUUAUGUCAUACUACUUACUGCAUACUACUGUAUACUUAGCACAUAAUAACUAAACAGCAUACUAAUGUAUACUUUAUGUCAUACUACUUAUUGCAUACUACUGUAUACUUAGAACAUACUAACUGAGCUGCAUAAUGAUGUAUACUUAUUUUCAUGCUACUUGCUGCAUACUACUAUAUACUUAUCAUAUACUAAUUAAGCUGCAUACUAACGUAUACUUAUUUCAUACUACCGUGCUGCAUGCUACUACAUACUUAUCACAUACUAACUGGGCCGCAUUCUAAGGCAUACUUUUAUUACAUACUGCUGGCUACAUACUAUACUUAUCACAUACUGCUGUAUACUUUUAUUACAGACUACUUGCUGCAUACUAACGUAUAGCUCAUUACAUUCUACGUACAGCACUACAGUAGUACAUACUGCUAUGUAACACACUACUAGGCUGCUCUACGGUAUUACAUACUACUGGGCUUACCACUACAGUUCAGAUGGUGUUACAUUAUAUUGUGUUAUAGGCUACGGUAUGCCAUGAUACUAUAUGACUUGUUACAUACUACGGUGUUAUAUACUACCAUGGCACGAGUGGUUCGACAUGCGGCGGUAUUUCAUGCCACUUUACUACGUGAUUGUAGGGCAUAUUCUAAGAUACGCACUACAUGAUAAAGACUAGGUCUGAAUGCUGGCAACUUUUCUGGCCAUUCCUCUCGGAUAGGGGCAGCCUCCACAGCCUCCAGCGAAAAUAUUCUAAUACAUGUAAUCAAGUCUUUGGGCCGCUGGAAGUCCUCAGUAUUUGCUUUGUAUAUACCUCAACCUGUGUUAGAAAUUAGGGCGGCUUUUGUUAAACUGUCAUCUUGAGGUAUUUUCUUUGCACUAUGUUUAUCUAUGUAAUAUUUUCUUUGGCAAAGACACUGCUUAUUUUUGCCCUCUUUAUUACAGGCCUACCGCAUACGUCGGUUGCGGCACACUUCAACCGACUUGUUCAUACCUAUGGCUACACCAUACUAUACAUAUGUUACGUUACAAGAAUAGCACUGAACACAAAUAUAUAUAUAUAUAUAUAUAUAUAUAUAUAUAUAUAUAUAUAAAACUCCAUAAUACAUGUAUUUUUUUUUUUUCAGUUAAUACAUAUUAAAGUUUGCCAGAUUGGUUAUGUUGCCUUCCAGACCGUAUAGAAGCUCCAUCAUGGCAUACCAUUUGCAAAAGUAGACUCAAUAUGUCCAGGCAUUUUUAGUAGCUACUUAGUCACAAACCCUGGCCAAAGUUAGCGUUCAUAUUUUUAUUUUUUUUGCAUUUUUCAUACACAAACGUCAAUAUCACCAACGUUAUCAUCGUUGUGAUACGUUUACUGUUUUGAAACACUAAUAUUCUCCCGAGAAUAACAGUACCCCCCAUGUACAGGUUGUAUGGUGUCUUGGAAAGUUACAGGGUUAAAUAUAGGGUUUGCAAAUUAAAUUCUCUGGACUAAAAAUAUUACCUAAAUAUGCACGUAGAAAUAAAAUAUAUUUUUUAUUCUUAUUUUUUUCUAUGCAAUACUAAUUAAUGUGUAAAUGUUUACUGCCCAGUCAUGUUUCUCAUCUCACCAUGUUUCCGUUAUGCCUAUUAUGUCAUACUGCGUAGUGUAUGCUAUUGCCUGUCGCUCCCUUAUUUUGUUAUUUAGACUCUUUGCAUUAGUAAGCAUACACUUAAUACUAUCAAGAGUCACUUGUACAUUUUGUUAAUUAUUAUUACUAUACUUCUUCUGUUCUGAUCUUUCCCCUCCCCCAUCUCCACCCCCACUUGUGUAGAGCUAAAGCUCAUCUCAUUUCUGUACUAUCUCCAUUUUGUAGAUUUCUGUGUACCCGCCCACCCCUCAACCUCUAGUUAUAAAUCUACACCAACCAUCUUCUCCCUCAGCACAACAGACCCUCAUCGGUUUAAGUGCAAUCCAUCACAGCUAUAAAUAUUGUAUUCAAGCACAAAAAAAGCCAAAACCCUUCUUCCUACACCAUAGUCAUGCAUUAACCUCCCUAAUCUCCAGCUGCUUUUCUACUCUAGUUCACAGCACAAGUAAUAUCUCUGAAAAUACUACCUUGGAGGUCCUUUUCUUCAGUUUACUUCUUAAUAUCCUAAACUCACUCUUUGGAGUCUGUCUAGUCAAUAGAUUGAAAGCAAAUUUUUCAAGCCCUGUAUUACAAGAUGUGCAUCGAGUGAAACCUGCAAUCUUGCUAACACCCAUUUCCACAAUUACCAAAAACACAAGUACGUAAGACAGUAAAACAAUAUUUACAUUGUUGGUUUAAACUCCUUGUUAGUUUAAACUCCUGUAUAUUAACUCCAACUCCUGCUGUUUCUGUACCUAAACUGACCUAAAUAUAGCCUACUUAAAACAGACUACUUUUAAGCAAGUGAGCAAGCUCAGUGAGUCAGCUGCAAGUUUAUAUAGGUAUAGAAAUACCACAUCAGAUGCACUCAUGCUGUGCUAAAUAAACUCAGAGCACUAAGCCCAUGGGGCUUUGUAUCUCCUGUCCUUACCUCCCACUGUUUGUAGGGUACAAUCCUCAACUAGCUCUUUAUUGAGGUUCCACAUUUUUAUAAAUAGGCUGUGAUCUAAAUGAUGUGAAAUUUGUAAUGUGUUUCAGUACAUUUUGUGUUUUUCUGGUAGUCUAAUGAGAAGAGUUACAUGCAAUCAAAACAUUGAUUCUGUUAAGGAAGUCUAGUUGUCCGUAGGAACACUGUUAUGAAACAUGAUGUUUUAUAUUAUUAUUUUAUAUUUGAGAAUUACCAGACAACUGCCCAUACCUCUUUAUACUUUAUUACAUUUGAUGUAAUCUGUAACAUACAGCUCGCUUACUAGGCCUGACUCCUGCUCUAUAGCGAGUCGUCACCUUAUUCUCUUAAAUGAUGGGCUUCAGGUACUCUUCUACACCAGAAUGGCGAGAGAGAGUCGAGCCGAGUUCUAAACAAAGUUCUUGGUGCCUCUCAGUGUAGUGAUUAUCUAUGAUCUGUGUGCACAUCAUUCCUCAUGGCUCUCCCACACCAUUAAAGUGAGAAUUGAAAGGAGGACACUGCAAAAGAAGAGAGGCAAUGUGAAUGAGAGAAGGGUGGCACGUAGUGUUAAUUUUGGUGGCAAAUUUCAAUUUAGUUUUAGUUAUAGUCUUUCGACUAUAAAUCCAUUUUUGUUUUAGUCAUCUGAAUUGUUUUAGUUUUAGUCUAGUUUUAGUUGACUAAAUCUACUGGAGAUUUUAGUCGAUAAGACUAAUAUCUAAUGGGUUUAGUUAAAGCUGUCUCUUUUGCCCCUUUGUGUCCUCCCAGCCAGUGGUGUAUCCUGGUUUUGUGCUGCCCUAGGCAGGACAAAACUCAGGCGCCCGCCUCCCCCCGCACCAUCCCCACCCAACCCUUCCCCCCCGCCCCACCUUCUAAAUACACACACAGUCAGACACACACACACACACACACAGACACAAACACACAGUCAGACACAUACAGACACACACACACACACAGUCAGACACACACACAAACACAGUCAGACACAGACACAAACACAGUCAGUCACAAACACACCCACAGUCAGACACACACAGUCAGACACACACACAGUCAGACACAAACACACACACACACAAUCACUCACAUUAACUUUUUUUAACACACGCCCCCCAACCUCCUUACCUUUGGGAAUGCUCUCUCUCUGGUGGUCCAGUGGCUGCCAGUCGGGCUGGGUGGCGCUGGCUGAUGGUCGGGCGGGCGGCUGGCGAGGGAGCACUUCCCCUGAGCUGACUGCUCAGCUCCCUUGCGCGCCGCAGAGUGAGGCUGGGAGCCGGAAUAUGACGUCAUCUUCCGGCUCCCAGCCUCACUCUGCGGCGCGCGAGGGAGCUGAGCAGUCAGCUCAGCGGAAGUGCUCCCUCGCCAGCCGCCUGCCAGCGCCGCCCACCCGCUCGGCAUGUCUGUUAGCCACGAGGCUAACAAGGCAUUUGCCCUUGGCAUUUGGGGGCGGCGUUUUUUGCCGCCCCCUGAAAAAUGCCGCCCAAGGCAAAUGCCUUGUUUGCCUCGCGGCUGAUACGCCCCUGCUCCCAACCCCUCUAGGUGUUUUUCUCCCAAGCCCUGGUCUGUCUCUUUUGCCCCUUCCACAGCCCCUCUGUGCAGUGUUAAUUUUGGCAGCAAAUUUCAAUUUAGUUUUAAUCAUAGUCUUUUGACUAAAAUGCCAUUUUAGUUUUAGUCGUAUUUUAGUCAUCUUAAUUGUUUGUUUUAGUCAACUAAAUGUCAAAGAUUUUGACCAAAAUUAACACUGGUGGCCCUUUAUAGUAAACUUCAAAAGAAAACAGAGAGUAUAAAUUAGGCUUGAGGAGGGGUGGUACUUUAGGUUAAGCUGCAAAAGAAGAUGGAGAGUGUAAGUGACAAUUGAGAAAAAAGAUGUCACUUUAGGAAAAGUAGCAAAAGAAAGGGGGUGAUGUAAGUGAGAAUUGAGAGCAGGGUAGCACUUUUGGGGAUACUGAAACGCAAAACAAUGCAAGUGAGAAUGCAGUAGUUGUCAUGCAGAAAUAAGUUGCUUUAAACUAUUUGGGCUUAUGCUUACACAUUACAGAUUAUUUUAAUUAAAUAUAUUUACGCAGGUUAUGUACUAUAUAAGCUAUGUGGAUUUCUACUUAUUGCUUAAAAAAAAUCCCUUUCUAUGUUCUAGGUUUCCAAGGCUGCAGCAGAUUUGAUGGCCUAUUGUGACGCUCAUGUUAGAGAAGAUCCACUUAUUCUUCCAGUGCCUGCAUCAGAAAAUCCAUUUAGGGAGAAAAAAUUCUUUUGUACUAUUCUUUGAAUUUGUAUUAGUCAAGUUUAAAUAGAGAUUAUGCAUGCCAAUAGCAUUACAGGAUUUUUACAGGGUUAUAAAUUGACACCAUAGCAUACAUGCCAACAUUCUAUGAAAUAUAUACGUAUAUCCUUUUGUAGUGGAUGCUUCAACAGCUAACAUUUUGACUUACACAACUUUUUAUCAUGUGAAACGUUUAUUUGACUGUAUCGACUGCAGAAUCUGUUCAAACUUCAAUGUUGUAUGUUCUAGCCCCAGCACAGUCAUCUCAGCCUUCAUCCUCCCUAGGUAGAUAAUAAUAAUAUUAAUUGGGACAUUAAUCAGUUGUCAAUUCAGUUACCCUUCUUAAUCACUUUCAAAUAUAUUGUAAAGUACUUGGAUAUUAUUAAUAUUAUUAAAUACUAUGGUUCUAGUAAACUAAAGGCAGCUUUAAUCAGCCUUGUAACCUCACAGAAGGAAUAGGUGAAGCAACUCUUAAGAGACUUUCCAGAAGAAAGAAAAAAAAAAGUAAAUCCCCAAUUAUGGGAAGAAAGAAAGCGGGAGAUUGUUUAAAGAUUAUCAUCCUUAGAAAGGGAUGUUGGCAUGUGUUCUAUGUAUCAAUAUUUUUAGAAGCACAAGGAAUUGUCACACAAAUUAUGUGAUUAUUUUUUUGUAGCUCAAGAUUAUUUAUAGUAAUCACUGCGCUAGCUAAUUUUCUUGAUUAUAGGAGUAGCAAACAGCAUGUAAUUGUACUACUAACUAAUAUUCAGCGAUAGGAGUUUGUGAAGUCACAUGUUCCUCUGGGGAAGUUAUGAUUUUUUUCUUUUAAGACAUUUAAACAGUGUUACAAUACACCUAUAAAAAAAAUCCUAGAGAGGUUUACUGAAAAUAUUUCUUCUAUGCCAAACUACAUAUAAAAUGGUAAACAGACAUGGAAACAGUUUUAUAAGAUUUUAGCCAUUUUGUUACCUUUGUAAUUAAUAACUUAGAUUUGUUUUUCGUUUCUCCUUCUAGUUAAAUGAAUGCAAUGUUUGAAUUUAUGAAAUGUAUUACUAUAUUUAUUAAGAAAAAAAUCUCAGUCAUGAUUUUGAAAUGCAUAGAUUUUUUUUUUUUUUUUGUAGAAAACAUCCUGUCAUAGACUGAAGAAUACAAUAUCCACUCCAUACUCUGCCUAUGUAGGUGUUGUGGUAUGUGAACGACAUUUUGGAGAUAUCAGCAUAGUCAACUGCUGCCUGUACAUGCUAAUAAGUAAUUGAAUGCUUGAGAACAAAAAUGCUUGUAGUGAAGUUCUAGAAUUAUGCCUUUUUGAGUAUUUAUAAAACUGAAACUUUCAUAGUAUAUGUAAUUUUUAUAAUAUAUUUACUUGAACCAAUUGACUUUAAGAGGGGCAUUUAUUGGAAUUUUCCAUAACAAAACAAAAUUUAUAGUGGAUUCAGAGUUUGUUCAAUAAAAAUAAAUAUCACAGGAGACAUAUUUUACAACACACUGCACUCAGUUUUUAAUACUCUUGUGCUUGAUGAUAUCCAACUUCAAGUUGACAGUGAUACAUAAAAUAUCUGUGAAUGAUUUUGAAGUGAAGAGGAUACUUUACCUCUUUCAAUGAUAAAUUGCAAAUAGUUUCUCUUUUUGGUUGUGUUUGUUUUGGAUUUCUUGACCAGUAAACACAGAUAUUUGUAAUAAUUUCA
rnacentral:lncRNA from 1 species